rnacentral:lncRNA from 1 species
UCUGCCUUUCUUUUUUAGAGAGAGAGAGAGAGAGAGCGAGCGAGGUAUUGGGGGAAAACAUCCCAUCAAUUUAUUGUAAAGCAACAAAAGUGCAGAGGUACAAAGAAAAUAAAGCGCAAACGAACCCAGCGGUUCUCAAAUGGCAGAUUACAUCAGUCACUUCACUCAAUUCAGAAGAAAAACCUCUGCAGUUUUGCCGGUGCAUGCGCAAUAUCGCACUAUGUACAGGCUAAUGUUUGUUAAAUCGCAUCACCCGGGGCCCGGAUAUGAGUGCAUGGUUCUCAGUCGUUCAGGUUUAAAAAAGUCCUCGAGUGUCACAGCAAGUGAGGCCACCAAACGAACGGUUCUCUAAUCUACAUUUAAUUUGACUUUGAUUGAGGGAAUUUAAAUGUUUCAACCACCACGGGGCAAUGAUGGUGUAGCCAUUUUAGGCUGGCUGGGCUAAUUAUUUCACUAACAUAAUGUAGCAUGGCACGAUGGUUUUAUAAGUAUUGUUUUUUUUUUUACACUUGGGCAAGUCUUGUUCAGUUCAUGAGCUUGGUGGCCAUCCAAAGUUGAGUGCCUUUUUUUUUCUUUUUAAAAUUAUUUAUUGAGAGGUUGUGGAGUGUCCAAAUGGCACGAGCACGAUGCCCAGGCUGUCACAAGUCAAACAAAAUUUGGCUCAAAUUUGGAUCCUGAUCCAAUCCAUUACACAACAUGCAACUUUUUGAUGCUUGUUGGAUUUUCGGAUUUUUCAUUCUGGACAACAAAUCCAAGCUGAUAAAUCAAUUUCAGUCCAAUGUACAAAAAGUUGUUUGAUACAUUUGCUACUUUCGUUCAGCAUUACAACCCAUAAGUUGAAGAUGAACCUAAACUAUAUAAAUCUCAAACUUAUCUGAUUCGAGCUUGCUUGACUACCUUGCUUCCCUUGGAAGCCAUAGGAAUGCAAUUGAAUCGAGUUGACCUAACUUAGAUGCAUAAACAAAAUGACUUGAAACUAUUUUGAAGGAACAUCCCAUGGAGCAACCUAGAACUAAGUAUAAAGUCAGCACUAAAUCCCCGCUAAAAUUGAUCCUAAGUCAACACAAAACUCCAAUUCAUUAAACCUUAAUUGAUUCCGAAUCAAUUAAUUUGGGUGAUAUAUAUCACCAAACCAACCACAUCUAACCAAAAUUACAAACUAAGUGGCGACUUACCUAGACUAUCCUUAAGAGGGCAGGAUGAUGAUCGGUCUAGGACAAAUUAUAUCCUACACUUUAUGUACCAACAUACUCGUGCACCAUGUCAACCAGCUAGCGUGUCUUUUUUCUAUAGAUGAUGAUGAUGAUGAUGAUGAUGAUGAUGAUUGGUAUGGUAUAGGGUAAUGUGGUCCACAUAGCGUAGAUAUAAUUUCUCUCAGCUACCUCAAUUACUCGGAACUUAAAUGAUUGAAGGAUAAAAAAGACAGUUUUCUAGGGUGUGACCGUAUGAGAUAUCUCCAAGUACUUAUUGAGGGUGCAGAGGACGAACCUCACAAGCAAGGAGAAAGAGGAAGUGGACGAGCACAAGGUGCCAACUAGUUAGGAUGCGAAGGCCAAACGGGGAGGCCCCAAGGUUCAGCCUUCUCACGCGCGGAGUUUGAGGUGGUACAAAAGCGGGAGGUCCGGCUGUGGAAGGGCAACACCAACCUUUCAUCCGCGCUUUUCAUGCCGAGACGUGGUCUAGAUUUUUAAACAUGUCGCAGGCUUUCUUUCUAAAACCUUUUCUCCAGACCGCCAAAUGAGUUAAAGCGGCCAAAAGACCCCAGCCUGACGGAUUCCAUUUGUACUCUGAUUUGGUAUUUGAUUAGACUUCUUUCUUUGAUUGCUCAUAGUGGCAACUCCAGCUAAUUUAUUUAAAAUCAUAUGGCAUUUAAAAAUUGUGCCAUUAGGCAAUCACAAAUGCCUGCAAAUCUCACACUUUUACGAUAUUGAAUCUUGAUGUUUAGGUUCAUUAAUAACAAUGGUAGCUUAGUCUCCUUUUCCUUCAAAGAAAAAAAAAUCUUGAUAUUUAGGUGUAACUCGAGCCGAGUUCUCUCAAAUUUGAGUUUGCCGAUAUUGGGACUUCAGUAGGUUGGCGAAUGCGUCCGAACUUGGAUGAGUUUGGGAUGGUAUAUCUCAACCUUAUUUGAGCUUAAGUGGCUCUUUUGCUUGGUGAGAAAACACCAUGUAUUAAUAUAUAUUAUUAUUAUUGACAGAGACAACAAAAAAAAAAAGAAGAAAGAAAGAAAGAGCGAGCUUUGUAUAGCCCUAUGAGAUUCAUGGAUUUUGAUAUUCCUAGUUGUCUAAAGAUCACAUGAUUUAGGUAGUUCCUAUAUCGCAAUACCUAGCAAUUUAAAAUAUGAUAUAAAAAUUAUCUACAUUUCAUGAUAUUACGAGUAGCAUAUAAAAUCAUUUUAAUGAGAUCUCUCAUAUAUUUUCAUUGAUUGAAACAGUCCAUUUGGAUUGAUAGAAGAAUAAUUUGUUAGUAUAUUAACAUAGACGGCACAAAAGUCUAGAGACUGAAAAUAUGAAAUAAAUAAAUAAAUAAAUAUAUAAAAGCUAAAGAAAAAAAAGUUUAUGUGCAAAAAUUGUUUAGUACACUUGAAACGGUUGCGAAAGUAUUUUCCUAAGAGCAAACAUCUAAAUUUAACCAACUCGAGUUAUUGUUUCUGUUGGAUUGUCCCUCUUAUGUGGGAGAAUAGCCCAACAAAUGUAGGCUAAGUUAAUUAUUUUUUAGACCAUUCUAUUUAGAAUAAUUUUUAGCCCAAAGUGAGGUUCAUUAGGACAAUUUUUAUGUUGAGAAGGCAGGGGCAUGAGGUCGUCUUCAUUAAAAAAAAGAGGAAAGAGGGGGAGAAUGAGCAGAAUUGGUAGCAUAGUUUUGAUCAAACAACGAUUGGAAGGCGAUCCGUAGUCCGAUUGAGCUGAAAUUUUGACAGAGGCUUAUAACAAGUGGUUUUUCAAUAUGUACGAUGUGAUUGCCAUUUGCAGUCUUCUAGCACAAUCACAUUAUGUAGAAAUGUGAUUGUUGUUCAUAUGAAAUCUUCUCAAUUUUUCUUUCUUAUUGUUGAUGUUUGCCAAGAAUAUUGUUCUUGAGAUUAUGUGGUGAUAUAUGUCUCUAGUUUUAGCUAUAGAGAACAGAUUGUAAUGUCCAUUAUUGGUUGAUAGUAGAAGUUCUUGGGUGGACUACGAUCCUGAUACUCUCCACAUUGGGGAGGUUUUCCACGUAAAAAUUCGAUGUUACUUUUGUGUUUCUGAUAAUUUGAUCAGUUAAGUAUUUGUGAAUGCCUUGAUAUAUAUAUAUAUAUUAGGUGGAUUGGCUCUAGUUGUUUGUUUCCUAAUAGGUUUAUAUAAGGUGGGAGAGUUGCUGAUUCUAUUGUAUUUUAAUUAUCUUAUUUGUUGUUACCUCUCAAUCCUAACAAUUUCAUCCAAUAAUUCAACCAAAUUUUGAGUUGCAUCAUUAAGCUUACUAGCUAGAUUUAUUGAUAACUCAAAGUUAACAGUCUAAUACCAACUCAACUAGGAGUCUGACCAAUCUAUUCUGUCCGUGCCCCUAAAGUCAGAUUGCCCCAAUCCUGCAACAGUGACUUCAGAUGUAAAAUGCUACUCUGUUGCUUGUUUACUUUAAACUUGUGGAGGUAAAAUGCACGUAGAUUCGUAUGUUUGAACAACCAGAUGCAAUUAUUCCCAUUUCUAUGCGAACUCUAAAUUGACCCUUCGGCUAAGGGAAGAGCAAGCCUCGGCAUAAUGCCAUUAUCGACCGUCAAACAUUAUUCUACGGUAACUUCAAAAAGCAAAACAACGUUCUCGGCUUCUUCUUCCUUUUUUUUUUUUUAGUCGCAACGUUCCCGGCUUCUUUGAAGUGCAAUACGCGUAACCUCGGCGCUCGGAACUGGGACCCCAAGCUAAUGGCACGGACGUAAAUGUGCUCUCAAAUCAGGGGUAAAUGGUUCACCAACCCCUCUCUUAAGCCGCCUCCUACUGGGAAAUGUAGCACUCCAACUUUCCACUCUCUUCGGCACCACGUGGCCUCAACCUUAUGUAGGAGAAAACCCCUCUAUCUCCGGCGAUGUAGCCGGACUCCGGCGAGACCAGGAGAGUUUUCCGGCGAUGUCAGCGGCGGGGGGGAGGAGGAGGAGGAGAAGGGUCCUUUGCUUGGCGGUCCUUUACGUUGUCUGGGUGCUAUGCUUCCCCUGCCGAGCAGGGGCAAUUCCGAUGUUUCCUCCAAACUCCGGGGCAACGCCACGUGAUAAGACCCCCCUCGUCGGCCGGAGGGUGGCUCCCCCCCACUGGAGCUCGCCGGCCGGCGACGGCGAACGGUUGGACGACAGUAAGCGAAGAGUCCCAAGCUGCCCCGAUCCCCUCCACAACCGGUAAAAGAAAUAAUGUUAUAACUAUUGGUACAAUUAUUUUUCGGGGCAUAUCGACAUGUAUCCUUCUCCUCUAUUUUGUUUGUGUACAGCUGGAGGAAGAGAGGCUCUGUAUUGAUGGAAUCUCCUAUUUUUAUUUUAACUGUUGUCAAUAAUUUGUGUUAAAAUGGUGGAGGUGUAAUCAACUAAGCUGAGAUUCUUGGUCGCAAUGAUUUACGAUACAGAGCCAUGGUCAAGUGCUAUAGCCAUGGAAACAAGGAAAAAAUUUGCAGUCUAGUUGUGUUCUUAUGUUCAUUUAUAGAUUUUAAUUUCUACUUUGUAGAAAUAAGGGCUCCAUUAUGUAUAAAGGUAUUAGCGUUCUAUUGAGAAAUUAGACAUAUGGAUUUCUGUUUAUUUCCAGUUUUAAAAUUUUUUAUGGUAUCGGCUGUUGCGGUGCGGUGACAUGAGAUAAUUUCAAAAUUGGCAAGUGCAAAAUCGGUAGUGAAAGGUAAGUACUUGUGCGCCAUUUCUUCUUUCAGUUGAUACUCUUCGCAUUUCCUUUCAGUUGUUGUGUGUAGUCCAAAAAUCAAAUCAGUCUGUCUCAGAGAUGGGAGGAGGCGCCUGUCAGCUGCCGUAUCCUUCCCAAUAAACGAGUCCUUAAUUAUUUAAUUAUAUAUAUAUAUAUAUGUAUGUAUGUAUGUAUGUAUGUAUGUGUGUGUGUGUGAAGUACAUACAAGAAUAAUAAAUCUUAUGUACUUUGGCAGGGAGGAGUUUGGCCAUGCGCCCUUAAAGAGAUUUAAAAGCUAAAUUUGGACUAGAAGAGUCGGGGAUUGUUCUAAAUUCCAUGCUGUUCUACUAUUGCUUGCAUUAUUAAUAUAUGUAUUGGUCUGUGAAUUAGCCGCUUAUAGACGUCAUGGCCAUGUCGCACGAGGUAUUUCUCACCUACACAAGUGACUUUUCAUCUUUGAUCUCUGUGGUUUCACAAAGGUAUCUUCAAUCACAUCCUAGAGAUCGAGCGAUCAACGGUCCAUCAACUUGAUAGUUGUAGUAUUUCCUAUACACAUGAAUUUUCACUCAUAUGCAAGUGUAUAUUUUGGCACCAUUGAUGUUGGAAUGCAAGCUUAUAUAUGACUCUUUUUCCCUUUUUUUUUGUUGAAAGCUUCUUGUAUAUACUCUAAUUACUUGACAUUAUUUUUACAAUUUUUUCUUGGCUUUGUAUGCUCUUCGUCGAUCUUUGCUUGUGAUAAAUUUAAACAUAAAAUGGAUUUAUGGUACUUUCUGCGGUAUGCUAUAAUCUCAUAUCUGUUUGCAGUGGUUCGAGUCAUUGAUGGCUGGAUGCCAUUCAAUGAUGCACCUACCCCUAUCCGAGUAAAUUAGCAUAGCGAAGUAAUUGAUUUUGGUAAAAAAAGUGUUACAUAAUGACAGUGCAACUCCACUGUUGCUUUCCUUUUAGCAUGAAUUGCUAUUUGGGUAGCUUCCAAAUGAAACAGAAAAAGACAACCAGUAUAUCCCUGCCAUGUGGUCUUUUCGUUUGAGUAUGCUUCUUCUGUCCUGACAAAUGUGGCUUAUAGACGGCAGACUACAAAUUCCUAUACUCCUCUCUAAAUAAAUUCCUAUACUCCUCCCUAAAUUCUUCUAAUUCUUUUUUACUUUAUCCUCCUCCUCCUCCUCCUCCUUCUUUUUUAACAACGGCAGCUCACACAUGAUGGAUGUAGAUGCGAUCAACAAAGUCAGUAAAUAAAAUGUCAUAUAAAGGCUCUGGCACGGAUCCACUGUCCAACCAGACAAACCCACGAGAGUGAUGGGCUGUAAAGGAAGCAACCCAGUCAGCAACCUUUUUUAUUUCCUUGUAGACGUAUGAGGCCCGGUAGAAGUGGCACUUCCCCAGCAAUAUACGAAUCUCAUUGAUUAGCGGUCGGUUCUCAGCUGUGCAUCCCGAUCCCAGAUCUACUCAACCAUCGUGACCGAUUCCCCCUUAAGGAUAAUGUGGUCCGCGCCCAGUGUCCGCCUCGCAUAGCAGAUACCCUCCCAGGCUACUCUAAGCUCAGCACAUGCCACUGACGAGUCAAAAGUCCGCCGAUCUCCCGUCUCAACUAGUCUGACGUCGUGGUCUCGGAUGGUGAAACCCACACCACUGCAUCUCCCGUCAUUAGACACACUGCCAUCGAAAUUUAUCUUGAAGAAACUAGAAGGUGGGGACUCCUAGAAGACAAAGACUGUCGUGGUAGCUAUCUAGCCAGUAUUGGUAGGCCAGUUAGGCAACUUGAGUCCCUCUCUUCUUAGACUCAGAGCUCUGUAUCGAGGCCUCCAGAAAACGUAGGAGAUCCUCAACAGACGACCACCUCUGCCACUGGUCUAGCUAGGCCGAAGCAUAGUGCUAAACCUGGUUGGCCCAUGGGCAUCCGAUAAGGACGUGGUAAAUGGACUUCUCCACCUCUGGACAGGUCACACAAGCUAUCAGAAUUCUCAUUCCCCAUUUUUCCAACACAGCUCUGGUGGGCAGGCACCUCCAGGCCACCUUAUAGAGAAACAAGGCAUUUUGUAGGUGGAUGCGUAUCCUCUAGAUCUAAUUGCUCUCAAUUUAUUAAGUUGCAGGCCCUCGGAUUAGCCUUGAGAGAUUUCGAACUUUCACCACUGGCAAUGCGGUCAUGCUCCACACCCUUCUAUCUGCUGUCGCUCUCUUCAUGACCGGCAUGGUUAGAAUCUGCUCGGCUAGCUACUCUUCGAACACUGUCAGAUUCUUCUAAUUCUCCAAGACCUGGUUAAGAUGUUGUUUUCUUGAGCAUAACGGUGACAUGCCCUCUUCAUAUUUCAUUGAAAAAUGAAGUGAGAGUUAAGGUGGCAUUCAAACCCAAAAUUCCGGUACCAUCACUGGAAAUCUUAAUCAAUAAAGUAAUCUAGUACUCAUCUUUAUAAGAAACUUAAUUCUUGGUUACGCAGCUGAUAUCUCUUUUAGCUUCACCCAUAAAAUUUACUGGGUUACUGUAAUCGGGUCCGCAUUGUCCAUUGAUACGGGAAGUACGGCGAGGCUGUGACAAGAUGAGGGCGAUUAAUCAUGGUAUCCCUGGUGCAUCGUCUUCUGUGACAUUUAGACAGUGCAUGGAGUGGACAGAGUGCUGGCACGAAGGAAGUUGCGACGUAGGAGAGGUCAGAGGAACGGCGUUGCACCGUCGCCUAGCUGUUUGGACAUGGAAUCUCACAGGCCUCUCAACCACUUCUCACCACCUUCUCCAUCGCACUAAAUGCGAUCAGUAAUUAUCAUCACCAUAAAAGCCUCUUCACACUGCUCAACGCACAUCUCUUCACAUUUCUUCAAUCCUUCCUAAAUGUCCUAGCCUAGCCAAGAGGGAGUCGGAGACGCAAGAGGUUGGUGAGGAAAGUCUCGGUCUCAGCCUUUUUUGGUAUUGUCGGAAUUUCUUAGGGCUCAGUUUGAUUCGUGGGAAAAAUAGGAAAAAAAAUAUGAUCAAUGAAAAAGUAAUAAGAUGCCUCUUAUUUGAUUAGAGUUUUCGAAGAAGAAAAACGUAAAAAUUGUAUUUCCAUGAAAAUAUGAUUCCCACAUUUUAUGAAAAAGUUUUUCCAUUAGAAACAUGUGAAAGUUACUUUCUCAUGAGGCAGAAAUCACUCCAUUUUUAUUUUUUUCAAAAAAAUUCUUCAGCAUUAAAAAAGCAUUAAAGAGGCAUUAAAUACCUAAUUUUUAUUAAGAGCAUAAUAGAAAUUAUACAUAACUUUCCCAGCAAAGUGAAUAGUCAACCAAAUAUAAGCACUUUGUAAAUUUGCCACUUUUCCAUGGUCAACCAAACAUACCAAAAGUAUUUUCUUAGGCAUUCUCUUCCCUAGGAAUCUUUCCCAGUAAUAAUAUUCUUUGGAGGAAAAAUGAUUUCCGCGAAUCAAACAAGCCCUUAGCAUAUGUUAUGCAUUUGAGUUUUUUACCUAAUGGGAUAUGAUUACCCUUGUUUGUUAGCAGAAAAUUCAUGUGAAAUUUUGCUUCUCUAGAAUAUUUUCUUGGAUGCAGUCAUUUGACCUUAAUUUGACUAAAGUCCAUGAAAAGCCUCCCGUCGCUCGCUCGCUCUCUGUGUGUGUGUGUGUGUGUGUGUGUGUGUGUAAAUCAGAGGAAGGAAAAAGAAAACAAAACAAAAAGCAAAGUAUGAAGAGCGAGAGCCUGUAAAAGUAGGGGGACGAUUCUGUACCGAAUUAGUCCUAUACACUAUUUUAAACUAGUCCUUCAGAGAUGUGUCGAUUGGUCCCAUCCGGCUCUCCCCUCUCGCCGGCGGCGGCGACGACCGCCCCAUUGCCCAACGAGUGUGUUCUCUCUGGAAAUUUUCCAUGGGCGCGAAUCCUAAAGUCACAAGACCAACGCUCUAGGAAACACACUGCGUUUUCCAAAAAAAAAAGCCUACAUAUAACGGCUUCAUGCAGACGAGCGCAUAAAAAUAGAGACAUUGAGGUUAUGGGAUCCGUCGUGCACACAGGAUUAUUAUUAUGCGGAAGCCAAUCGCCAUAGAAACAGGAGGACACGUGGUACGUAGAAUAGUCCGUGCGCUUAGAAAUAUUAUGCGAUUUUUUCGUACAUAACAAAUAUGCGAAAAAUGUCCUCGCAUAAAACUCUUGUGCGGUUGUAAAGGCGCAUAGAUAAAAGUAUGCAGACUUGGUGCACUAGGGGUCAAUCUCGCAUAACUUUUUUCGUGUGGACUUACUUCCGCACAGAAAAUAUAAGGAACAACAGGUGCUCGGAUUCCAUUCGCGCAUAACACUUUUAUGCGAAAGAAAAAAAUCCUGCAUAGAUAAAUAUGCGGACGUAGGAUAUUUGAUUCUAUUGAGCGCAUAAUAUUUCUAUGUGGAGAGUAGAUUCGCACAGUAAGCAUACGCGGACGUCCGCAGCAUAUGAGAGGCAUUUCCCCCGUCCCAGCGCCGGCAGCGCCUGUGUCUAUUCGACUGCGCCCCCGACACCGUCCCUCAACUCCAGCGGUGACCGCCGACGAUCUCAGUGCCUGAAUCUUCUCAUAUGUCGUUUGAUGGAGCGGCGACGCCGGCAAUCAGCGUCGGCUUCGGUGGUGGGAGAUGGAGGGAAAGACAGAAGGAAGAGCUUUUCUACCAUUAGAUGCCCUCGCUGCUCAUGUUUCGCUUUAUUUGUCCGUACCAUUGCCUUCGCCGCUCGCAUUUCUGCUAUUGGAUAUUUGGAUGCCCCACGGCCUUGUCUCGAUUGCUCACAUUUCUGCCAAUGGAUUUGUCUUGAUCUAAAAGCUGAUGUCAGGUGAUGCUCCAUCCAAGAACCAUCCAAAUAUCAUCAACCUCCGUUAGUGUCGCCUGCCUCGGUUGAAAGUAAUCAUCAAUUAAAGUCCGAUGAAUCAAACACUCACCUUCUGAUAAAAAAUUUUAAGAAAUAUACGAUGAAAAUGCCACCAUUUACGUUUCGAACCCAGAACUCCCCUAAAUGAAAGCACUAAAAGGAGAGUUUUGAUGUACACCAAAAAAAAGGAGAGUUUUGAUCAAUUGAACCAAACCUUGCUAGCAAAAGCCAUCCAAAACGACUGUCGUGCACCAGAGGUGGCCAUGUUUCACAAAUCUCAAUGCAAGAUUGAAGGGUGGUGCGACAUUGGACCAAGAAAUGGUCUGUUGGGCACAAGACUCUAGCUUCCUUUCUUCUUUCUUUCUUUCUUUCUUUUUUCCACUUUUUUGAGGGAGACUGGGAGGGAGACCUAUUUGUACCAUAACUACCUGAGUUCAGAGUUCUGGUGAUGCGUCGCUCGGGAACCUAAGCAAAGCAGCAUGACCACUUAGACAAGCCCCAAUUCGUAUUUCCUUUUAUUUCUUAUUUUAACUAAUUAAUGGAGAUUUCAGUAGAGCAAGUUUUAGGGGAAAAAAACCACCUUCUAAUUCUAUGUGAAUUAUGCAUCAAAGGCCUCAUACAUGAAAGAGUGGUUAUGUUAGUGCCAUUGUUUCAUCAGCGGCGCACAAUAGAGAAAUUCAUAUGCCCCUUAUUUUGGAGAAAAUAUACCCUGCACUCUGUGAACCACAUCAGUGGUGCGCCAUAGAAACAGAUCGAGACAAGAUGUGCAGGGCGGCUGGCAUGUAAUAUAUGGAGCCCACAAAAACUAGGACGUCUGAUUGGUGCGGUGCACCGCCACAUGGUGCAGGAAUAUAAUUUCUCCUCCUUUUUCGGCUCCUCAAGACACGAGCGUGACACCGCCGCAAACAUCGUUCAGAGUACAGCGCAACUCUGACCUAUGGUCAUGGCAUGUAGACGUUGAGCCGGGAGAACACUGGUAGUGUACGGGGAAGAACACCUGAUCUUAAAUUCUAAUUGAGUAGACCAAGACUUCGUUUACAAAAGUUCUUUACUUCCAAGGCAUAAUAAUAAUGCUGCAAUGCUGAGCAAAUGUUGAUAAUGCGGAGAAGGAGAACAAACCACGUAGUAAGUUAAUAUUUUGGUGUCGUUGGAAUCUUUGGAAUUUGGAUGCCUGGCCAUGCUUGUGGGUUUCAUUUCUCACCCAUCAUCAACACUGUGGCUUGGGAGUCUUCAUAUUCUAAGCUUCAAGGAGGAUUUUGGCACAAGAAUUCCUUGUAGGGGCUUCAACAAGUGCUUGAUACGGGUACUUUUCCAUCUUAUCUGAAAAAUUAUUGGCGAUGCAUCGGCUAUUGUUCCUUAGUAAAUGAGCGAGAUGUAUCGCAUAUGGAAAAUAAGAACACUAGGAAUGGUAUUAUAUACUAGAAGGCUGCCUGCAAGGAAAAUGAGAAGUCAGAUGAUCCAAGCUCGCUAUUAGUUUCUGGCUAUAUUGGCCAUUUAGUUGAAUUCAAAGCAUCAAGGUAAUCAAACCACCGAUUAAUGAUAUAUUAUUAUAUGGUUUUUUGUACUAGCACGAAUGUAUGAUUCAAUGAGGAGGUUGGUUUUGUAUAGAGAUGAUCUAUUUUGCAUUGUGAUAAUAUCAAAAUCUGAGCUUGUCCCAGUAAUCACCUCUCCAGUCACCGGAUGCUAUACGAACCCACACAAAUGAAAUCCAAGUCCCUACUUUGCUGAAUCAAUAUAUACCAAAAAGUUCACAAAUAAAUAACAAUAAAGAGCACUAAUUAGCCAAUUCUUCAAAUGCUGAUAUAUAAUGCACAGGUUUUGCUGGGUCUGCAACGGAUCUAACAAGGACAAGCAACCAGUAACGGCUUUCUUUGGAUGAUUCUUCUUAUGAGAUGCUAGAAAGUCAAACAGAACAAUAAGGUCAGUUAAGAGCAAAAUAAAAAGUUGGACAUUUUAACACAUGGAAUUUGUUCUACAAUAUAAAUAUGCAACCAGAUCUUAUGCAAUUCUUCUAGAAGUUUUGACCAAAAAAUAUGAAAUAAUGACAUGUUAAAACAUGUUGAGACAUUUCUAUUUGACUUUAAAAUUUCAAUUUUUAGUCCAUUAUUAUUACAUAGUUAACAAUCAAGUGCUUGUUAAUGAUUUAUAUUUUUGUGGCAUGUACUCAAUAUUUAUACAUUUCUCAGUAUAAAUUGUUUAACUUAGAUAAUAACAUCUAAAACCUGACGACUACCAAGACCUGAUCCUCGCCUGAACCCGAUACACAUAUGUUACCCAAACCCAGACCCAAUUCAUCAAUGGUGGAACAUAAAUUAAAACCCAACAUCUCCAUGUGUAUAGGUCUAGGUUUAGUAAAACCCGGACCGGAUUCCAUGCUCAUAUCCACAACCAAGAAUUUCUGCUGACGGAUGAUGGGUAUGAUCCCUACCUUUUCCUCACAAAGGAUAAGGUUGCCUCCUUAACUGCAGCAACCCACAAUAGGUACCAUCCGAUAUUACUUUUGCUCUCUUAGACCAACAGCAAGAGAUCCCUGAGACAGUAACAAUGCCUUCCCAUUGCAUUCUCAGUUUAGGCCAAAGACCCUCAUCAUUAGGUCUUCUGGCUCUGGUUCGGAACUACUCACUAUAUCUCAAUUGACUCUCAAACCAUCACAAUUACCAACUUUUUAGCGAGUAAUAAUGAGCUAUCAUCACUUAUGGAAAGCAAAACAAACAAAACAAAAGCAGAAAUAUGCGGAUAAGAACACACAGUAGCAACCUUAAGACACUUGAAGCAUCUACAAUUACCAGAAUCAAACUCAGCCUUUUCAAAACCAGUUGCAGGUAACAAGUCAAAUAUCACAUGACGGGAGAUAAGAUGGAGCAUUUGUAUAAACUUCUAGCUAGAACUGUGGAGUUUGAGUUGGUUGCAGUCAAGGAUAACCAGUCAUUCCGACAGUUGAGCUUGCCCUGUUGGUUUUAUGCGCAGCCUGACUUGUAGCUUUGGAAAAGUACAUGUAGUAAUACACAUUGAGUAUCAUGGUGAAGACCACGAAGACAGCUCCAGUAACGAAUACUCCUUUCCUCAGAGACUCACAAGUCCAGUUUGAAGCAUAGAUCAUAUGCCUGUACUUUGUAUGGUAUGCAUUCUUUGUCGCACCAGCUAACAAGCAUGCCUCAGCAAUCAAGAAAGUCAGCCUGCAGUUGGCAAACAAGCACAUUCGCAUAAUGCAUCCCGAAGUAAUUCAAGAUUUAUAAACAGAAUAAUGGAUUUGUGAGAAUUAUGAUCCUAUAUGGAAGAAAGAUCACCAUGAAGAGGCAAAAUAUAUAAUCGACCAGGCUCGACUUCCACCAGGAGCUAAUGGUUGGCCAAAGCACAUACACUUUGUGACACCCAUGAGCAGAGAUUGACUAGAGAAAAGAAACAAGAAAGCACCAACUCCAUAGCCGGUUGCAACAUCCGAAUCGUAAACACAGAAUGUAGCAUUGAGGUUAUCAGUAACUAUGGUACCCUGGCAUGCAAAACAGAGAAUUUAGUAAUGCCCAGAAGCAAAUACAAGGUUAAAUAGCUAAAAGAUAAGGAUGUCAGAAUUUUCUUUAAUCAUAUGGGUUACAUGUCAAUCGGUGUUCAUAGUCAAUCACAGAUUACAAUUUGCAAGAAAUAUUGAUGAAUGAGCUAGGUAGAUCUCCGAGAAGACUCCAAAUAGUUCUGCCCCAGCCCAAGGACAAAAAAGCCAUUAACUAUAUCAAGAUAUGUGACUGGGCUAUUAUUGACUAUUCGAGUUUCACUAAUCAUAGAGACAAACUGGAUCAUAGGAGCGAGAAGGAACCCCAAAAGAAUGUCUAACCCCACAGCUAAGGCCCAACAAACAAAACAAGAAACAUUAGAAGCAUAGAACAGCCAAAAGUGCAGUUUCAAUAAUCUGGUGAGUUGUGGGAACAUAAUUGUUUCCUCGUUUUUUAUUAUUCUUUCAGUGAAUACAAUGCAAGCCGACCGUCAUUGUCACAUGCCUUUAGAAGAUGAACAGAAGCUGUGGCCCGGAACAAUUGACCUUGUGACAUCCACUUUGAGUCCCUUCCCCACUCUUUUAUGAUUUUACCCACUUUCUAACUUUGCUGAUGUCGUAUUCUAUUUAAAUCAAGCUUGCAGCGCACCAAGAUAUUAAGUUCAUCAAUUUAAAGAAUGAAAAAUAUAAAUUAUUGUUUUAUAUGAGUCAUUUCUAGGUACUUCUACAUGAACAAGAAACUUAUCUGAAUUACUCCUGAAUAUUACUAGCAUUCAUUCUUACACUUAAAGAAAACUAUAUUGGCUAAAACAAAGAAAACAUUUUCCAAUAGUUUACCUAAGUACCCAUUUUCCAUUUAUGCAAGAAACUGUAUAGAUUGGGUAAGAAAACAACUUGAUAGCAAUAGUCUAAAUUAAAGGUUCGAUCAAAAAACAUAAACAAAAUUUUCAACAAGACUCACCCAUAGAACCUGAGGUCAGGUAAACUUCAUACUUUAGUGAUCUCUGGGGCCUUCCACAAUUGGGCCCUUGUGCGGUCCUACAGUGAUUGGCCCAUGCAGUGGAGGCCCGACAGCACUUCGGGCCCUUGUAACUCCUGCCUGCAGCACAUCUCCCAACUCCUAGGGCUAACCACCAUGUGGCUCCAUAAAGGCCACAGGGUGGGAGGCCACAGAAUAUGUGCUCUUUGUUCUUAUCCAAGUCCUCGAAAACCAGAAUUGCUGGCACAUCAUUCUUCAAUAUUUUUUCAUCCAAAAUAUUUCUGUUCUUGUUUGCUUCUCCUUUUCCUGAAGUCCUACCAAUCAAUAUGGGAUCAACUUUCUGGAUUUUAUUCCACCAGUGGUUCCUAACCAAAAAAAGGUCCAUUCAAUUGGAAAAACUCUGUAAAUCAUGCCUCCGUCAAAGCCUACUCUAAGACCCACCAACGCCACCUUACACCUACUGGUCCUCCAUAUAAACUUCCCUAUUCAUCAUUUAGAGCACUGAUGAAGUGAUGUAGGAAGAGAAAGAAAAUCAGGCUUAUUAAAGAUGAACAAUUAAGAUGGCAAAAACAAGUGAAAUAGGUUUCAAUAGGCAAGGCUAGGUGUGGAGAUUAGUAAUCUAAGGUUUGCUUAGCCCAAUAUCAGAGUUCUAUGAAGAAUUUCAAGAAUGUUGUCGUCUUUGUUGCAGACCUGAAUUGGGGUGUAGGCCUAAGUACAAAAUACUUAAGAUGAACUAUAUAGGAUCUGCUUGAAUUCAGAGAUUGCAAAAUCACUAGUUUAAAGGAAUUUUAUGGGAUCAUACAAGAUAACAGAUGGAUUAGAAAAAUAUUAGCAGGAAAGGAAGUACAAGAUAACAGUAACAGAGUCAAUAACACCAUAUAAAACACUAGAUUUACCCAAAGGUAUCAUCACUAGACUUGGAAAAUCAGACCAGCCUGGCUAGCAAUUUGACAACAGGGCAAGCCUCGGCAAGGGUAUCUGAGCUAGGAAGUCAAGUCGAACCCGUAUUCUACACCUGCUUAAUUUCCAACCUGGCCCAGACUAAAUAAAUAUUACCUUGGUUUGGCUAGGCCUAGCCUGAAGCACAUAAAAUAAAAGAUGUUACUAAUAUAUUUAUUAAUGUAUACUACAUAAUAAGUAAACAUUAACCUAGUAGCCUUCCCCUUUGCCUCUUCAUCCUCUCCUCCAAGCCCUAAUCCUAAGAAACCAUUAGAACUUCGGAGGAGUGGCUCAUGAACAUUGAUGCUACGACAAGAAUGGGUCUAGCGUUUUGCUUGGUUUGGCUUGCCUGGACCUUUGAUCUAUUCAACAAGGCUAGGCUUGGACUAGGAAAGUUAGGCUUGAGAUUGAGCCCUGCCAAGCUUGAGCUAGCAUGGGGGUUUGGAUGCUUAGCUCAUGCUAGGUUAGAAUUGGCCCAAUAAAUGCUCAUGUAUAUCCAUCACCAUGAUAGAGAAGAAGCAAAGCUCAAAUAUUUAUCACAACUGAAAUUAAUAAUAUAUUAUCAAAAAUAGCCCUUGUAUAGACCCUUGUGGAUCCUCUAUAGCUUUAGGAACACCAAGAAUAAAAGUAAACUUCCUUUCUAGAAAUGAAAUAAGGAAAUACAGAAAAGAAGGAAGAACAACCUACUCUUCACAAUACAAGGCCUCCUAGCAUAACUUUUAAGGGAUUAACCAGCCCUUCAUGAGGAGAUUUAUUAACAUGCAACAACAGAAAAGGAAACAUAUAACAAAAUGAGAGCUUAUCCAAAUUAGGAUCCUCAUAGGCUGUCUUGUGAACUCUACAAACACCUAAAGCAUUCUAAAAUUCAAUCCUAAUAAUUUAACAGUCACCUCUUUCCCAACCUGUAACAGAAAUUAGGCUCAUAGUCACUAAUCCGGCUCAUCUAUGGUGCCCCAAAGCCAAUGCCAAAGAUGGUAAAAAGGAAAACAAAAGGAAAAAGAAUGUAUUUAAAACCCUAGACAUGUAUUGGUGUUAUAAUGAAGAGCUAUUACUUUGAACUCAAAUGGUGCAAGAAAAAAAGAAAAGAAAAGAAAAAAGAAACACACAUACAAAAUAAGUUAGCAUGACAUGCAUUGGAAUUUCACUCAGGAGCAAGAGUUAGAACAUUAACUAGUUUCCAGAAAAUAUAAAGUAAACAAAGGAAAAGUCCUUAUAGUAAUUACCACCCCAACAAUUAAUAAAAACUUACCUAUCUACUAUAUAGGUAAUUAAUGAUGAAAUCUGCCUAGGUAAAAGUCCUUAUAGUAAUUACAAUUCCAACAAUUAAUAAAGAUUAAUCUAUUUAUAUAAGUAUUUAAUGGUGAAAUCGGCCCGGGUAUAGAAAUGAUUAAGGACAAAAGAAAAUAAUACACCAGCAACUCCGUGCUGUUAGAUUGCCCGCAGAGUUGACUGGAAUUUCAGGGCGUGUCACCAACCUCUUGCUCGUUGGUCUUUCGAAUGGUCAUCGAGUUGGUGCUUUUAAUCUACUAAUUAAAAUCCCCCCCAGCAAGGGAGUUUUUUUUUUAAUCGCUUAUCUUGGGAAUCGAACCCGUGCCACUGGCUUUGAUACCACUGUUAGGACCGUAGGCCUUGCCAUCUCACUAAAACCCGCAGGUGAUAGUAAAGGCUUAACCACAGACUUUAAACCGACCAUCCCAAGCGCCCCGCCGGCGUUUGAUUGCGACUUGGCCUACACCGGCCUCCGCCGCGGACGAGCCUUGCUGACUUGGCCCACACCGCGGACGAGGUUUAAUGGAUCAUAGGCUACUUUUAUUCAAACAAGGCCCUAAAAUUCAAGCUUGACCUAAGCUUUGAUCAAGCUUAAUUUAAAUCCAGCUCACUUUGAGGGUAACAAGCUGCAGAAAAUAUGCUUGUUUAACCUCAUAUUGAUACUAAGCUCCAUCAAAUAGGAAAUGUGCCAAAUUUGACCAAUCAAAUAAGCUUGAUUACACCUCUAGACAUCAAUAAUCCGAAGGACACAUUUAACCGGUUAUCUCCAUCAUUUGCCAACUCUGUUUCAAAAAAAAGUCACAUUUUCAGAAUCCUGUUGUGGCAUGUGCUAAAAUUUUCAUAAACAUCCAGCGAUGAAGCGAUUGUGAGAUUCUAGUCCCACAGCAGAUUGAACAUGAGUACACAACGAUGUGUCAAAACCUUCAUGCAAGCACAGAGGGAGCCACAGGGAUGGGGGUCAAUCAAAAGCCAGAAAUAUGAUGCAAUUUGAAGUCCCAAAUCUGGAAUGACUAUUUGCUUCAAGCCAUAGAUGUAGCAUCAGUGUUAUUAGGCACUAAAGAAAAGAAAUUAUAGGAUAAGUUUGCACCAGCAAAAUUUCCUCUUUAAUGUGGUCAAGCAGAAAUACAAGGUAAUGCAAGAACAACAUGUAGCUGAACAAAGCACUUGCAGUCAUAAGUGCAGACACAAUGCACAAGCCAUCGGUAUAAAAUCCAUCUGCUACUAGGGAAACUAGCAGCAAACGUACGAAGUAUUCAUGGACCUCCAGGUAAAUACUUACUGCAUGUAUUUUAUCACACACACAUACACAACCUACCGCUUGUAAAGGAGCAAGGCCAUAUGUAAAAAUAAAAAACAAAACAAAAAUCAAGGAAGCGUCAACAAUCCCAAGAAGUAACUCGAAUUUCCUAGGCACUGCUGGCCGGUUGCAAAGGAUGAACUCAUACACCAAGCUUGCCCAUGAAUUGAGUCAUUACACUUUAAAAUCUUGUAUUUGAACCUUACUUAUUCUGCUCCAAUUUCCCUGGUGUACGUUUUUAAAAAUCCUUGUACAAAAUGCGCUCCCUAGUCCACCCUCCCCCUUUCAAAUCAUCUUUUACGGUUACAAUCAAGGUCACAAUUUCCAUCUUCCAUUCAGCAUUCUGAAAUUCCAAUGCAAAUUCAAACCUUUUACUCUAGCAGAAGUGUUCUGUUACUUACAUUGCAUAUUACCCUAAAAGAUACAGUUUCCAUACAAACUAGACCUAAUCAAAUACCAACUAGUAGACCAAAUAACUUCUAAAUUCAUUGAUUCAAUUAGUAGACCUAAUCGCAAAGACAUCCACAUAAUGGCCAAGAAACAGAGACUAAAAGGCAAAAUCACAAAGAUCUCCAUCCAACAUCAAGUGAGCGACACCCUACUUCACUAUAACCAAGAGGUACAGCGGAUAAUAAGAAGGGCGAAGAGCGCUCACGGUGCUCCUGCGGCGUUCGGCAGCGAUGGCGAAGCCGAAGGCAGUGAGGCUGAGGGCGACCACAAGGAUGUGGACAAGCGUAGAAGCCUUCCCUUCUCCCAUCGCCCUCUUUUCUCACUCGCUCAAAGAAGUAAGAAGGUGUGGGGUGGUGUGAAGUGGAAAGUGCGAAGUAAGAGACGGCCGUGGAAUAAAGGCAGCGCGGCCUCAGCAGCGGCCCCUACUUUUUCAACUCCGUGCUGUUAGAUUGCCCGCAGAGUUGACUGGAAUUUCAGGGCGUGUCACCAACCUCUUGCUCGUUGGUCUUUCGAAUGGUCAUCGCUCUGCAUGUGAUAUCAAUAUGUUAACCUAAAUCAUUAUUUCACUAUAUUGAUGCUUGAUAUUUCUAAUUUGUUAGUCUUUCAUCUCAACCGAGAUCAAGCAACAUGUUUGCUUACAUUUUGAUGUCGUCAAGCAUCAGAUGGUUGGACACGUGAUCCGUGAAGAAUACAAAAUUCAGUGGGGCCAAAGAAACUUUUAGGAUUUUCUCUCGGGCAGGCAAGCGAUCCUUUGGAAGCUACCUCAAACGCAUCCAUGCAACUUGUUCACAUCAGAUCUAGUUCUCACCGACAAAAUUCUGUAGUACCUACAGAGCCGCUUAAGGGAGUGGUCAUGCGCUAGCGGAGAAAGGGCGAGCUCGAAGUGGCACGCACCUCCUUGCUUAGAAAACGAGUGUCAAAGACUCAAGUUCUUGGAUGAUGUUAUCCCUCAAGAUAUUAAAUUUUCUGAAAAAUAAUAUUUCUAAAUUUACGAGUUCAUAUCCCAGAAAUGUUUGGAUACAUCCUCUUCUCUUAUUGGAUGGGACUUCUCUCUUCCAUCUUGAAGAAGAAGCGAUAUCGAAAGAAGAACUGGUAUGGAGGCCAUAAUUUGUAGGGAUAUGCACCGAUUAAUCUGCUCCAGCAAUCGAACUUAAAUGAGAGAGAAAUAUCAAGAUCAUAUAGGAUCUUUCAAGAAGGUUGCUGGUCUCCACGAGGACCAAGUCCAGGCAUUGACCUUGCUACGGUCAUGCUCAGAGAAUGUGAAGAUUGGCAUUCUUAUCGAUUCCUGAUCUCCCAAAGGACAAGACAGAUAUCUAAACAACAGGACUAAUAAUAAGACACGCACUUUAAUUUACAAUAUCUUCAACAAAGCAUCAUACCUGCAAAAAUAAUUGUUCAAUGUGGAUUAAAAAAAACGAAAAAGAAAAAGAAGUUUCAGCACAUACAAAUUCAUCGAAGUGCUAAUAAAAGCUGUCAAAACUUUGUUGGUGUCACCUAUAAAUUUAAUGUCGUCACGCAUUAGGCUUAUGUUUAGGCCUGUGACUCUGUUCAAAAUCUACUUCUGGCAGCUGUUCAAGUUUUUCUCGGAGUGUUUCACCAAUGUCAUGAGCUUGGCACAGAGGCAUAUUCCCAGGCAAGGCAAUGUCCACCUCAACGAAGUAUUGAGAACCGAAAGUAUAUGCUCUAACCGUAGCGAUAUGAUUGAUUCCUGCAUGGCGAUUCCAAAUGAUACCGUCAACUUCGCAAAGAAGUCAGGGGGUGCUGUUUUCCCAAUUAAUGACCAUACAUUCUCCAUGACAGUCCUUGCCCAUGUACUCAUCGUGUAUAAAAAAGCUAUCUGCAACAAAAUCCAGUACGAAUCAGCACACUCAUGGAUGGAGCAUUGCUAGCCGGUCCUGGGCCAAAUAUCGAUAGAUACAUCGACCAACUGAAUUAAUUACGCUGCUUUGUAGCACGUAGUAUCUGUCUUUAUUCGUCCUCUUUGCCCUUUACUAGAAAGCUAAGGAAAGCCGAAGCACUGUAUUCUUUUCCCGUCUUCCAUGGUAGGGGGGGGAAGGGAAAAGGGAAAAGUGAAAAUAGAGAUCGAAGAAGCAGGUAUAUAGAAAAGAGAAGAGAUUGGAGCAUGACAUACCAAGAGUCAUCAUACCAACAUCCACUGUCUCAUCUUCAAUUGUUCUUUUUUUUCAUGAGACAGCAAGACAUUUAUUAGAAAUCGUUUCAUUCAAAGCACCGCAUUUGCCAUCACUGUUAACAUCACUCUUACUCGUAAUAAUUUCAGACCUUGGUCUUAUGUUCUGGCCUAUGAGUGAACUCGAAAUCUAUGUGCACAAAUGCGCGUUCGACUUCCGGUAGCUGCUCAAGCUUUUCCUGGAGUGUUUCCCCGAUGUCAUGCGCCUGGCUCAAAGGCAUAUUACCAGGUAAGACUAUAUCUACUUCGACAAAAUAGUGAGAACCAAAUGUAUAUGCUCGGACUGUGUCAAUAUGCCUGAUUUCUUCAUGGUGAUUCCAAAUGAGGUAUGUCAGCUUUGUUAGAUAAUCUGGUGGUGCAGUUUUCCCAACCAAUGACCAUACAUUCUCGAGUACAGUCUUCGCCCAUGUGCUUAUUGUGUAUAGAGCUAUCUGCAUCACAAGUUAACUAAUUCAUGAACACAUUUGUGCUUGAUAUCAAAAAAAAAAAAGUAUUACUAGUAUUGUUGUUGGCAUUUGCAUGAUAGGACUGGAAAACUUAAAACUGCAUGAAUUUAAUUUUUGCACAGAGCACUUGUACAUAAUUAUGUCUGUGGACGCAUGGAUGUAUGCAGGCAGGCAUAUGUUUAUAAAUUAGAUGCGAUUAAAUGUAAAUAAGUCAUCCUUGCAAAUAAACUUACCAGUAUUGCGCCAACAGGGUCCAUCCACCAAUAGAAUCUAACAGCAAGUAAAGCUGUUGCGAGACCAAUGGAGUUAGUGAUGACAUCAAAGAAAUGAUCUUGUGCAUAAGCUCUGACGAUAUCAUUUUGGAAGGUGCGGCAAUACAGCAUGAGGACGAACUUUACUAUUGUAACUGAAGCCAUAAUGCCAACCAUCCAUUUCUCUUUUUUAUGGUCAAAAGUAGGGUGAGCCUGCAAUGUGUUCAUUUUGGUGUUAGAAAGCAGCAUCUAGGUCGAUAAUUGUUCACACAGAUAAGCUUCUCUAAGAUUGUGCAGCUUUCAAGGUUUGUUAUAUAAAUGGGGAGUUAUAAUGAAAGAUAAGUAAAAUCAAAGAUCAAUUAGCUAUAAUCAGAUUAAAUUUAAAAAAAAUAUAUACAAUUUAUUUUACAAUAUGGAGCAUAUGUCACUUCGUGUCAUACAUUUAGAAGAACAAGGUAACUUUUCUGACCUUGAGAAAAGAUUUAAUGUACGAUUAAGGGUCAUCGUCAUUAAUAAUACCAUACAACAACAACACAAAUUUCAUUAGGCAUAUCAAAUCAAUUACUAUUAGGUUUACUUGAAGAACAUCUACCUGGGUAACGAGUUCUCGACCGGACUCUAACAUCACCUGGAAACCGAGGGUAGCCAUCACAGAAGCAAAAACUAUAAUUCCCUGCAUAGUAAAAAUAAUAAGAUUUAACUUGUUUACAGGAAGAUCACCGCAAAUAACCGAGCAAUUUACAAGUGUAAGUUAAAUCUUUUCUUUUUGUUUCUUUUUUCUUUCAAGAAAAGGGUAGUUGAAGCAACCCAUAUUUCAUUAAGCCAACAAAAGAGAUACAGAGGAAAAAAGAGCAAACAAAAAGCAAAACAAACUAAAGCAGUCAAAAGUUUUGUAAAGGUAUCUGUUCCGCAUCUUCUUAUGCUUCAAGAAUUUAUGCCACUGUGUUUCCUGAAACUCAAUAAGCAGUAGAUCUAAAUUUACCCUUAGCAUAAAAAUUAAUGUAACAGCUUAAAUAUGUUAAUUAUCUGAGCAAUUUGUAUAUGAAAACCCAAUCAAAAUUCAAUGAAGUGGCAUCAAGAUUUUUAUCAAAGAUAUUGAUUGUGAGUUGAAAUGUAUAUUAAUCUGUUCUCACCUACAGAGAUCUCCCCCACUUUCAUUCUUUAGUAAAAAGGUAUCAUCAAGUCAUCGCUUUCCAUGUUACCUACAGAAGUUUGCACUACUGAUAAUUUAAGGAUUUUUUUCCCAUAGUGUAACGUGCUCAAUUAUACGAUGAAGAAUUUGGAAGAUAUGACAUGCUAACCUAAACCUUAUUAAAUAAUUUCAAUUAGCACCGAUAAAUAUUUAUAGAAUUUACAGUUAGAACAUUUAAUUUAUAUUCUAGUUGGUCAAUAUCUACCACCACAGCAUCAUACUGGACCAAAUGUAGGCAGCCCUCCUGCUUCUCUUUAGGGGAAUGCCAUAUUUAGGUGAGGAAUAAGUGUAAAAAGAGCAUAAAGGAUGCAAUGCUUGUAUUGUUAGUGUGGCACAGGGGUUAUGCUGUAGUAAAUUGGGCUAUUGGGUGAUAAGAAGAGAAAAGGCCAUUUGGAGAACCCUGCUAUGUGCUCAGAAUACAAGUGCUAAUAAUGCCCCUCCACCUAACAAGCAGAUGUUCUGGCUUUGAGUCUUGUGAACAGAUGAGUCUCCCACCCUUUCUAUCUCUCAAUUUAAAAAAAGAAAAAAGGAAAGAUGAUCAACUAGCAGCACAUGCAGAAAAACUGAACGUCUGUUUUCAUUUUGACAUAAUGUAGGAUGACAUGAUGUUGGAAACAGGCUUACCACAGGUUGCAUUCGCUUCUUGCCAAUUGGAUAGCUAUACUGAUUAGGUUUCUUCAUUGCGUAUGACGUAAACCAGAGAAUAAACCCUGACAGAAGAUCCAGCAAAGAGUCUAAAGUUGAAGCAAUGACUGCCAAGGAUUUGCUCUCAAUAGAUGCGUAUACUUUUGCAGCAAAGAGGAAUAAAUUGGCAACAUUGGAAGUAUUAAUUGCCAUUCUUUCGCUCUUUUCUAGUUCUCUCAGCUCAUCCUGAAGAUAAAGUAAGAAUCAUCAGUAAGUUCUGUACACAAUGUAUGCAACCAAUGGAUGUCCAUACGAUGAUUUUUUAAAAGGUAACUUCAUUCUCAUAUUAUGCAUAAAAUGCCACCCUAUCCCUUUCUUCCAUAAUCUUAUACAUAUGCAGAAGUUUGGAUGUCACUGCUAAUGAAUGCCAAUUAGCAUCCAUACAUUUGGUAACCAAGCAUCUCAAAAUGAUAUUGGAUGAUAGAACUUUACAAUGUUAUUUAGAUCUUCUUUUUUUUUUUGAAGAACUUUUCUUGUGAGAAAAUUGAAGAACAUUUCUUGAUUUUCUUUUUCUUUAGAACAUUUCUUGAGUACCUUACAAAUAGAAGGAAAACAUAUAACUAAGAAGGGAAAUUAAGAUGAUAGACCUCUGUAGAAGCUCCUGCUUGACAACCUAAUUCAGUGAUGCCUUCCAUUUCAUUGAAUCCCUGUAGAAGCUUUUCUUGCUUCUUGUAGUAUUUCGCAAUUUUACUUUGCUUACCUGAAAAACCAGAAUAUAGAGAAAAAGACAUAACUUUGCAUAUACAAUAAGUAAUGUAAAUAAACUUCAAAAUUAUAACCAUAAAUAAUGACUAAUAGUUCAAAUGUGUCUUCGGAAUGUUUGUCAAUAAUCAUUGCCGGUAUUGAUCCUUGAUUGAGAGAUCAGAGCAUGCCAUAAUAAUUUUUAAAACUUAAGGUACAGAUACUUUACAGUUUUGACUUUAUUAAGGAUAGGUAGAAGAUUAGGUUGACAUGAUAUAAAUUUUACUAUGCAAACAAUAAAUAACAAAGUAGAACCUUCAUACGAUUUUAUGUAUUACUUGAGUAAAAUACAACGACCCUGAAGUGAUCAAGUUAAUGCAUAGGUGUUGCAAGGCUAAUAGAGAUAGAAAUCUAUAUCUGGGAUUUCAAAUCCUGUGCUGGAGUUAACUAACCUGAGAAAACCAUUUCUACUAUGGUUAUAACUUUUAUCCUAAAGUAUAACCAAUAAUACAUAGCCCCAAAAGAUAAUGAACAAUUCCCAUUCCAAUUCCUUGAGAAGUUCGAUGAAAUAAAAGUAUUGGAAAUCAAUAUAGAUAAGAAAUCACAUUGCACUGUAUUGGAAAAUAUGGAAUGUUUUAAAUGAUUUAAACACAACUUGAAGGAGAAAUUUGUAAGGUUGAAUGGCUAUAAGAAAUUGGAUGAGAAAAAUAUAAAAGUUGAAUGAUCGUCAAAUCAAACACAAACAGAACAUGGCCCUAAAUUAUAUAGCCCUACAUUUUUCUCAAAAGAACCAUAUAGUAGUUCAUGAAAUGUAAUGGAGGAUCUCAUACAGUCUGCUUUUCUUUUGUUAGAAAAAUAAAAAAGUCAGGCCUGCAGCAUUUGGUUCUAUCAGCCUAAAUUGGCCACCCAUUGCUUGGACCGAAUAUUUCCGCCUAGUUUAAGCAUGAAUCGCUUGAAUUCUUGAAUCUCUGUUCGAUUUAGUUUAAGUUUGGUAUUUUGAUUUUAAUCAGCAGAAUGCAUUGCUAAUUGUUUAUGCAAAUGGGCAUCUAGAAACAGUCAAGUCAGAUUGAACUGCAAGGCUAUCGAUCUGAUUGUAGAUUUCAUGAUACAUGACCAUCUUUAUCAGAAAUCUUUUGAUCGUGUCUCCACCACUUCCAGACACAGACUUGGCUGCCAACUUGUUCGCUAUUAAGCAAAGACACUCCAUUUUUUCUCUCUUUAAGAGUGGAAAGAGAACCUGUAAGACAAGAAACUGCUACGCUGUCCUGCAGAUUCCCCAACAGUUAAAAACCAAGGACUCUAUGGGCAUUAUUUUACAGGAAAAAAUUAAUUUUGACCUCAACACUUAAUGGAUAGACCUGGAUUGUAGCUUUCAGGAUAAGUUGUGAGGGCAGCAUAGUUUUGUUUUUCAACCAAAAGCCAAACAAAUUUUCCUUUGUUUCUUUUAUGGUGCUGCUGGCCUGUAUAUUGUGUUUGGCUUUUUAAUCAACGCUGUUAAACCUUGAGUAGGGUGUUACAGUAUCUACAGUGCCCGAUAUAAUUACAGAGACUCCAGUAGUAAAUAUCCAAAAACCAACAGUAGUUCAUUUCUCAGGUCUUCCAUUUACUAUAAGCGAAGAGGGCCCGCCCAAAGAAACUCCAGUAAAUUGUAAGUACGUCAAGCGAAAAUUCCCAUCUCAGAGCACGACCAUCAGUGAAGCCACUGCACCAUAGUAUAUGAGCCUAUUGUGUAUAUAUAUAGACCAGACACAGAAAAUCCAACAUUUACGUAUAUGUAUGUCUAUGUAUGUAUGUAUGACACACACACACAGUAUAUAUAUAUAUAUAUAUAUAUGUGUGUGUGUGUGUGUGUGUGUGUGUGUGUGUGUGUGUGUGUGUGUANNNNNNNNNNNNNNNNNNNNNNNNNNNNNNNNNNNNNNNNNNNNNNNNNNNNNNNNNNNNNNNNNNNNNNNNNNNNNNNNNNNNNNNNNNNNNNNNNNNNNNNNNNNNNNNNNNNNNNNNNNNNNNNNNNNNNNNNNNNNNNNNNNNNNNNNNNNNNNNNGGUGUGGGUGUCUUCGUGGGCAUAUAGGAAUGCGUGCGCAUACGAGGUUGUGUGUGGGUCUGGGUGCAGGCGUGCUCGCGCGUGUAAUUUUCUAGGUAUGCAUUUUUUGCAUAAACCGGGACACAAGAAUUGGAUUGUGAUGUAGAUAGGAAAAAAUUAAUACUAUAACUAAAUAUUUAUAUUUAUUUUUUUAUUUAAAAAUAUUAUUUGUUAAGAUUUUUUUAGUCUAUUUUUUCUAAUUAAGGAUAUAAAAAAAUAAUAUUCUGUUAAAUUAUUUAGAUACUUAUAUCUAAAUCUUCAUAAUGAAAAGUUCAACCUUUUACCAACCUUUAUAAAUGGUAUCUAUAAAAUUUCAUAAAUAUUCAAAUGUCCAAUACGUAUCGUAUGUAGCUAAGUAUCUGUCAUGGAUUUUUGGGGCCACACACAGGUGUCACACAAUAUAUAAGUGGGCUUCCUUUGCGCAUGCACUCUAUGAUAGAACGAUAAAACAAAUGCAUCUAGAAAAAAAGAAUUUUUUUUCAUAAAUUUCUAUUUUGUGAAAACAUACUUCCAGAUGCACACGUUUGCCUUCAAAAUCAUCCCAACGAAUCCGAUUAUGCCUCUAUAAACUAAUUGCAUGCAUCAUCAAACAGGACACAAGAAACGGAUUGUGAUACAUAUCUAAAUAUGUGAGUCGGCAAGAGAGAAAAAAUACGAUAGGAUAAAAUUAAUACUACAACUAAAUAUUUAUAUUUAUUUUUUAUUUAAAAAUAUUAUUUGUUAAGAUUUUUUUAAUCUAUUUUUUUCUCGUUCCAAUUACUAACCAAAGAUAUAAAAAAAUAAUAUUCUGUUAAGUUAUUUAGAUACUUGUAUCAUUGGCGCAUUCUCAUAAAGUAAGGUUCAACUUUCUGCCGAUUGAUAGCUAUAAAAUUUCAUAAAUAUUCAAACGUCCCAUGCGUAUCGUACUCCAGCUAACUAAUAUCUGUUAUGGAUUUUUAGGGCCACACACAAGUGUCUCGAUAACACAAUAUAUAAAUGGACUUCCUUUGUGCAGCCGUGCGUGCAUCAACGUGUGGUUUUGAAUGUGUGCGCAUGCAGUCUAUGAUAGAGCGAUAAAACAAAUGCAUCUAGAAAAAGAGAUUUUUUUAUAAAUUUCUAUUUUCUGAAAAAAUACUUCCUGAUGUACAAGUUUGCCUUCAAAAUCGUCCCAACGCAUGAAUCGGAUUAUGCCUCUAUAAACUAAUUGCGUGCAUCAUCAAACUAAUCUUUUACUAGCAAAAUAGUCUCUGUUUCCAUUCAAUCACCUCAUGUCCCCACCGCGUUAUAAGAUUAAUAGCACGAGACGAGUAGGAGAGCGUUGAAGGCGAGGACCGCGAGAGGAGACAUACCAUGGGUCCUACGGAACACUCGUGAGACAAAGGAAGGGUCUUUGGGCCCUUCCGGCAUCUGGAAGUCGCUCAUGUCAAGCCUCCAACUCUGUGACGCCGCCGCCGCCGCCGCCUCCCCUUUCAGCCUCAUCGGCGAAAGCAGCUCCGUCCUGUAGUCCGUCGACUCGCACCGGAGCUCCAUCGCCAUGCCCGACUCCCUUCUCCUCUCCUAGUUAGUACACACAACUCCUUGGAGAAGAAUAAGAAGACAGGAAGCGGAGUGGGUAUUGGUUAGGAGUUUGAUGACGGCACUGCGUGCUUCUUUUGGGAAGCACUUGAGUUUUUUUACUUUUUGCGGAUGGGUGCAGGCCGCGGCGGUGCUUGGCACGCCCUGCUUUAAUUGGUGGGGCGGCGAACUGAGCGUGAUAGAGUUGAUAAGAUCAAAGGCACGCCAAAAGAGUAAUCCGAGAAAGCUGAAACGUCGGUUACCGACUGGGAUCCCCACCCCCUGUUUGGGGUCGAACAGCUUUGGAUUCUGGGUUCGACCAUGUGUCAUCUUUUGAUAGGCUUUGCUGGUGGGUUCAGGUGUUGGAACUAUGGGUCCCACUUGAAGUGGGAAGUUUGCUCUUGGUAACCGUAGAGCGCCACUUCCGCUGAACCCUCCAACUAAUCUGGCCACGUUGCUCCAACCAUACGAAGUCCAACUAACGUGGCCGACCGCUCCAGGUUUUCUAAUUAAAUAUAAAAUAAACCUUUACGAAGAAAAUACAAAAUAAACUUAUAUUUUUAUUUGAAAAACACUACCACAUGGAAAUAAAAACAUAAGAAAUAAGUAUGAAAUCUUUAACUCAGAUUGGAUAGGAAGGAUUGAAAUAUUGAAAACUAGAGUUGCUGUUCCCGGAGAAAUCUAGUAUUUCCUAGACCGUUAGGAUUUAGAUAUUAGAAUAUUUUAGAGAGAUCUCAUUGAAUAUAGUAUUUAGUUGUAAAAAGGAAACUAAAAUCAAAUUUACAUAUCAUUAUUGUUAUAUUAAAAAUUUAUUAAAAUGGAUGAUGUUUCAUUCAUGAAUAAAUUUAAAAAAAGAUUUUUUUUUUUUAGAUGAAACAUCCUUACGUACCUAUGACUAGAUAAUUAUAAUGUUGGUCUCCUCUCUCUUUCUUUUCAAAAGAAAAGGAUAACAAAAAGUAUCUUGGCUCUCACGUGCUGCACCUGUUCACUCGGACGUACAGACUCGGGCUGAAACUUAGUUUCGUGAUUCUCUAGACAUCGCCCGUGGAAAAAAAAGUUAUUAUGGCCGUGAAAGGGUGGUAACUCACCCAAUGGGACAACUGAGUCGGUUUGAUGGAGGGUUCGGAUUGUACUCUCUUGUGCGAAAGAUACUACCUGUACUUUUUGAUAAAGGGAAUUCUGUCAUGCAAUCAAACAUCUGUACAAUGAAUUAGUUCAUGACCUCCGUGGCCUAUCAACUCGACGAGGGCUUAAGGAGACACGCAAAAGUUGAUUCCACUAACAUGACUCAUCUUGUGCAGGUGCUAUGCCUCAUGGAUGCCCACGUCUUAUACCGGACAAAUGUCCCUUCUUUGCGUGCGUCCCUUCCUUGAUCAGGUGAGAGGUACACAUGCCGACAUGCGGCUCUAUUGCAGUCUGAGAUGGGUCUUCCUUUUUAUUUUUCAAUAGGAGACACUUCUAAUACAUAUGUAUGAUGGAGAUCUAACAACCGGAUUGAGGAGCUAAGGAUAUUUGCAACAAUGCUAAUUGUAGCAUAAGUUACAAUCUUUCAUGCACUUUUCAAAAGACUCUUUGAUUGACAAAUUUUACUGAAAAAUUACAAAUUUUAAAAUAAACAAAAUUUAUAAAUAUGAUUGCAUGCUUUUUAUAGUAAAAUCCACUUUGUCAAAAUUGGUAAGUCAUCAAAUCUCAAAAAUAAGUUUUAUUGAAGGUGGUUUCUCCAUUAUGUUUUACAAAACACGUUUCACAGAAAUCAUGCCUUAUAAUCGUUUGUUUAAAAGAAAAACUCAUAAAUAAUCAAAUAGCCCUUCAAGAAUUAUUAGUUAUAAAAGUUUCUAGGAAGCAACUUCUCUCAAUUUUUACUUGAUUCUUGCUAUUACAUUUAACUUUAUAGUGUGGCAUAAAUUCCCCUUUCUGAUGGGCCAAAUAUGGCCGUGGAUAUCAUCUAUUAUGCCCCAUUUGUAAGAGUUUUUGGAGGGCCAAAAAGUACUUUCUGGCCCUCCAGAAGUACUUUUAGAUAAAAUAGAAGUGUUUGGUAAAAAUUUUGAAAAGUUGUUUUAGCUUUUAAAAAAAGCUAAAAUAGCUUUUUAGGAAAAGCUUCAUUUUGGAACUUCUCGAAAAAAAGCACUUUUAGAAAUUGUUGGAAAGCUAUUUUGAGUUAUAAAGCUUUUUAGACCAAAAUACUCAUAAUAAAAUAUAAUAAUUACACAAAAUGUCCCUUUAUAUCUUUAUUAUUGUAUUAUUCUAUAAAUAUUAUAUUAUAUUAUAUUAUAUCAUAAUACAUUAAUAUGUUAUAUUAAAUAAUUUAAUAUUAUGUUAUAUUAUACCACAGUUAUCGAGAGAAUGAAAAAUUAAUUUAUGCUAGUAAUUAUAAUAUUUUAUAUCUUUAUUAUUGUAUUAUGCUAUAAAUAUUAUAUUAUAUUAUAUUAAAUCAUAAUACAUUGAUAUAUUAUGUUAAAUAAUUUAUUAUGCUAUUGUAUACAAUAUUAUAUUACAUUACAUUAAUAUUAUACUAUGUUAUAUAUUUAUGUAUUAAUAUAUAUUAUAUUUUAUUAUGCUCUGUUGUAUAAUACUAUGUAAUGUCCUUUAUUGUCAUUUUGUCAUACCAAAAGUAAUUUUUCAGUUUGUUUAACAAAUACAUGUUAAAGUUUCACAGUACUUUAGAAAUGUAAUUACCAAACAGCAAAAACUUUUUAUAAAUGCUCUACUUCCAAAAGUUCUACUUCUAAAAGCUCUACCACCAACAGCUCUCCAAAACGGGGCCUUAGCAUCCGAGCUGGCUGGAAUAGCUCCUUCAUAUGGAGAGAGAUUUAUUUUUGGGCCCCUGCAGUUGUGGCGAAUAUCAGAUGGUCCAUUGGUAAUGGACAUGCGGUGAAUGUGAUUGCAAAUGCUUGGAUUUCAAAUUUAUCUCUUCUGUAGUAGCCCACCAUGGUUAAUGCUGAGAUGAGCCCGAAUAUGCGAAUAUGUGAAUUGUUUGUUCCUGGAUAGAGGAGAUGGGACACCAACCUUAUCACUCGUCUCUUUGGAGUAAGACUUGUGAAAAAGAUUAUCUAUCUACCAAUCCCUAGGUUCGAUACUGUGCUUGGAUUUGGAAGCUGGGGGUUCACCCGAGGGUGGUAUUGUUCAUUUGAAAAGUGGCAUGGGGUCGCCUUCCAUCCAGAGGAGUCUUGAGUGGUUGAGGGAUGAGAAUUCCCUCGAACUGUAAUGUUUGCCCAGUUAUGGAGUCCAUGGCUAACGUCUUGUUUCAGUGCCCAACGACACUUUAGGCACGGGGACUCAUCCAAACCCCUUUGGUCUUCCUUCAAUUUGGGGCACCAAUUGAGUCCACCCUUUCUAAGCUGAAGGGGUGCAGAAGCAGACCCUACACUAGAGGCUAGGGCAUCAGGAUUGUGUAUUUGGCAUACCACAUCUCGUUUGCCAAGAAUGGCUGAAUCUUUGAGAAUUGUAUUCAGCCACCGAGAGUCACAUUGGAGAGAGAUUUCAUUUAGACUAUUGAAGUCAUUCACUCACCCUCUGUUAGAGAGCCUAUGAUAGUUAGGAAAACUCGGGACUCCACUUUAGCUUGCACAGUGUUCGGGAUGCUUUUUAUCUCCUAGGAGCCUCUACCCCCAAGUUUUUUCAAGGUAAACUUCGAUAGUAAUGAUAGAGAAGGCCUUGACUUUAUUAUCAAAGGCUCGGACUCUCGCUUUAUUAUUGUUCGUGGGAGUCAGAUUCAUGAUGUCACUAUUCCUGGUGCUGAACUGAGGGCAGUUUGAGCGAGCACCAUCUAUGCGAGGCUUCACUUGCGGGCAGACUCCAUACACCUAAAAGAUGACUCAGCUACUUUAAUUGGUUGAGUCCUGGAGUAGGCUGAGAAUAGGGAUCGUUUGCCUCUAUUCUAGGAUAUGUUGCAGUAUGCUAGGGUGCACCUCCUUUCGAGCUACUCAUGUCUACCACGAGGCUAAUAGAGUGGCAGAUUGGAUUGCAUCUUUUGGCUGCGCAUUCUAGUGAGAUGUUGUGGACCAAUCGUGCGAGUAUGCCCAUUUCUCUUUAGGAUAUUUUGAUUUCUAAUUCUAUUGGAUGUAUUCAUAGGAGUUCUAUGUAAAUUGUUCGACUUACCAAAAAAUUAAAAAAACAAGCUAUCUCUUGAGCCAUCAGGUGUCCCCUCUACAAUUUAAGGGAGAGAUCAAAAAUUAGCCCCAUCAAUUUCAAGAGUCACACAUUGACAAGUAGAGCCAUAAAAAUGAUAGGAUAACUAAUUUCAUUCAUUAAGGCUAAUAGCAUGAUUAUGUGACUACAAUGGUUACAAAACAAUACAUGAAGCAUUUUCAUAUUCCUAGCUCUUGCACUUAAGCUCUUGAUUUUUUUUUAUAUAUAUAAAAACAUGGUUAGCAUUGUUAUUAUUUCCUCCCCACGGACAAAUAAUUUGCUAUAAAAGAUCCAUCUCAACCAUAGCUCUUCUUAUUUGUUGUCUCCCUUUUAAUAAAUUGUCAUGGCUGGAAUUGCUUGAACUUGAUGUUGCCAUUUCCAGGGUUGUAGAGGAGUUGUUAACUCCAAACUAAAGAUCAUUAGCUGGCCCAGAUGUCAUGUUUCUUUGAGGUAUGUGGUGACCGAACAACUGAAAGCGGGAUGGUAUUCACUUAUUCAGCUAUACGGCCAUCUGGUACAGGCCGUGGCCUGUGAAAGAAUGGCAUCCAUGGAACGAUUCAAUGAGCUUGCAUACUUUUCCUAAAUGAAAAUUAAGAAAAAAGAAAGGAAAAAGGAGUUGAAAAUUUGAUGAAGUGUAAUUGAUGUAUGUCCCUCGGUUUAACUGUCUUCUUUUGUUUAAUCCUAUCGAUUGAAAGUUUUAUAGGCAGUCCUUGACUUUGAUUCUCUUUGAUACGUAAUCUCUUAUCCUGUUCAUACAAGUGUACAAAGUAGGAACAACUAUGUACAGAAACUAGUAUGCCCAUGCACAGGACAGAUACAUAUAAGGAGUAAAUGUAAGGCUAAACAUAAAAUAGCAAUCAAAUAAAGGACGAGGUGCGAAGUUCCAGUAGAAAAUUGUCGCAACUGCGGAGACAUUGCUCCAACAGUGUCCUCUUCAUCGCCAUUAGAUAUACUUUUAAAUAACAUUCCGGAUCUAUCAAUGUUUUAAUUAUGAUAUAUUUAAACCGGAAAGACUCACUUGUAUGAUACACCCACAUGGUAUGAUAUCCAUGGAGCACAUAAGCUACAUCCAAUCUUGGCCACCAUGUCAUACAGCGAUGAUCAGCAGGCUAGCCACAUCGAGUCCAACAACAUACUGGGGAGGAUCCAAAACGCAAUGGAAAAACAUCUUUAAGACUCGUUUGGUUGACACAAAAAGAAGCAAGGAAAAUGUAAUCAACCGGAAACGAAGAAAAGGCCUCUUGUUUGAUUUGAGCUUUCAAAGCAGAUAAAUGAAAAAGUAUUUGUUUCGUUGGAGUUUUUAAAGAAGAGAGGUGGAAAAGUAACAUUUCUACAUAAAAAGAAAAUCAUGGAGGAUAUGGAAAAACUAUUUUUCUACCAAUUGAGAACUGAGAUGUUUUUUUAAUCCAAAACUGUCUUUAAGCCAUCAAAAUUUAUGAAUAAGACAUAAUAGAUAAUUUAUUAAUUUUUCUAGAAAAGUAGAUGUUUAACCAAACAUAAGCUACUCUAGAAUGCACACUUUUUCACGAUUAACCAAAUAUACUAAAAUCAUUUUCUCGGGUAUCAUAUUCUUAGGAAUCGGAUUCUUAGAAAGAAUAUUCUAAAAAGAAUUUUUUUUUUCUAGAAACCAAACAAGUCUUAGAAUGAACCAUGUUUAACAUGGCUACUGGGAUCUUUUGUUCAUUUGAGUUACAAAAAGGUUCAUGAAAGGAGGUAGAGCCAGGGUCUCUAGUCUACCUGCAACUGCAGUUGUCUCGACUCCCUCGAUACUUCGCCCACUUCUUACUGUGGGGACCACGGCAUGAGCUUCUCCGCUGAUUACUGUGCUCCAUGAAGGGCAAAAUUUGUGGGAGAGUGCUCUCCUUUGAUGCUUUUAGAGAUGCUGCUAGUGUUUAUACUUACAGAUUCGCUGUUUUUUGGGACCUGAUCAUGCUCAUUUCAUCUUUGAGGUCGUAAUAUUUUGUGAUUGAAUCUACGUUAUAUCAAACCCUCCUAUUUUUAUGCACAUUUUCUAGCUAGACAACCACAUGAAGCUCGAAACAGAGGCAACAGUGAACAACCAUUCAAGAAUUCCAAUCCUUGGCCUAAACGGAGAGGGGAAGAAGCCGAUGUGAUAUAGAAACUCUGAAAUUAAGAUUUGGCUUUCAUGAUUCUUUACUAGCUGUGCCAGUAUACCUCUCCAAAUGAACCCAUCAAGCCUAGGUUGCUUCACGCAGGAAGGUGUCCUCCAUCUAACCUCACCAAUUCAUUGGCUCAUAUCAUGUCUAGAAACAAGAGUGAAUGAAGGACUUUGGUCAAUCACUUGGCUACGAUUUUUUUUUUCGCCCACAAAAUGGACCACAAAAUUGAGGCUCUUGGACAUUAGGAUCCGAGGAGGAGCAUCGACGUGACCUAUAAGAAUUUUGAUCCGCUCGACUUCCAGCCAUUAUUAACUGAAGUCUUGGAUGGCCUAAUCCUUGGAUUGGAUGGAUGGAUGGCCAAGAAUAUUCGCUCCAUCACCACCGCAAAAUAUCGCUGGUCUAAAACGGAUUGCCCUGAGCAUUGUGACAAGAAGUUAUGUUCGAUGCCCUUCAUUGGCCAACAAAGAAGAUUCUUAUUGUAGGGAUUUUUAUACACCACAGCUUAAAUAGCCAAGCAUUUGGUGCGACAUUCACAUGUAGAUGUCGAAGGACCAAGCAAUCUGGAUCACGCAGCUAACUCCUUCCAACAGCCAAAAUCCUCUCUCUUCAUGGUAAAUACAAAGUAGCAGGAGAUAUUUACCAAAUUUAAGCUUACCUUUUGUCACACUUUGAGAAGCCAAGCUUCAAGUAACAUCUUGGCUCGAAAAAAGAAUAAAAGGCAAGUAAAGCGACAUCUUUUAUCAAACCAAAGGAGAAAAAAAAAAGCAACUUCAAUUUAAUUUCCUGAAAAAAGCAAACUCUCCAGUACCAGAACGAAAACAAUUACAAGGGUUUAUUAUAUACUAUGAUCAUCCAAACAAAUACUAUACAAUAGAAUCUAAUCUAGCAAGGAAUGGAAAUUUGUUCUUGAUCAUCCAUCAAGUGGUCCCAAUGAAGUCAAGAGAUCGCAAUUUGAUAUCUAUACGCAAAAAUGGUCUAGUUAAUAGGUACUGGAUCUAUUCUUCUUCUCUUUACAAAAAGGAAAAUAAAAGAAAAGAAAAGGUUAAAUACCCUAUUAGAUAUUAGAGAUGAGCUGGCAUUUUAAUAUUCUUCCAAUUUUAUAGCAUUUUUCGUUUUCAAUGAAUUCUAAGUGGGCUCCUUGCUUCUCCUAUUCCCACCAAACGGAGCUCUAAUUUUUUGUAACAUGAGCUCUAAUUCUUUCAAAACGGGCAUGGCAUCGGUUUUUUCAUCGGAGCGGUACCAUAAGUUCCGGUAGUUUAAAAAACCGUGUUGCAACUGUGAUAACCGUAGUCCAGCUGUAGGUUGUCUAUUCAAGUAGCCAAGGCGUAGGAGACAACAGGGCUCAGGGCCAUCACUCGUUCACGUGCAGGGGAUAAGAUGAGCCAGCCCUUGACACGUGGCACGUCAAUAGAGGCGCCCAAUUUGAUAAGAAUGUGAUCCAUUCCCACCCUUCAUGUGUGGUGGUCGAAGUGAAAUGUCACCCCUCUAGAUCCAACGGCCAAGAAAAUCCACGCCAUCCACCUCAUAUGGAGAUCGCCGUUGGAUGAAAAAUAUCAACGGCAGAAGGGAUCUCAGGUUAUAUAUAGGAACGGUGUUGGGGUGUCAAGGCCUCCAUCCUGGUGCAAGGUCUUUUUGUUAGGGUGGGAGGGAAGUUAGGAGAAAAGAGAUCAGGAAAUGGCUUCCUCCAUGAUGGUCUCUUCUGCCGCUACUGCGUCCCGGGCGAACCCAGCCCAAGCAAGCAUGGUUGCACCCUUCACCGGGCUCAAGUCGACUUCUGCCUUCCCAGCCACCAGGAGGGCAAGCAACGGCUUCUCAAAGCUUCCAAGCAACGGAGGCAAGGUUCAGUGCAUGAAGGUAUUGAAGAGAAGAGAAAAAAAGAUGAUGAAAUUAAGCAUAGGACAGAAUCAUUAGCUUAUGUUUCUUCUCUCGUUCUUCUGCAAUAACUAACCAUGCAUGCGUUUUACUUCAUAUAUAGGUCUGGCCGAUUGAGGGUGUGAAGAAGUUCGAGACCCUCUCUUACCUUCCGCCUCUCCCCAUCGAGGCUUUGCUCAAGCAAAUUGAGUACCUUCUCCGCAGUCGUUGGGUCCCUUGCUUGGAGUUCUGCAAAGUAAGUAUCCAAUUUGGCUGAAGGUACCUCUUGAGUCCUUGUUCCAGGUCAAGAAAGAACCAAUCUUCGUAAUGGUAACAGGAAAGAACAUAUUAGCCACCUUUGUCUUAGACCCAACCUGCUGGGGCCCUAAUUCUAUUGAUGGCAUGGCCUGUCUGGACCGAAUCCAGCAUGGAUUCUGCAUAAUUGAAACCUGGAUGGACCAAAAUAGAUGUGAAAUUGAGGCCCAGCCCAUGGGCCCAUCCUGACCAUUAAUGACCCACCCUGAUCCAUCAGGUAAAAGGACUUGAUUGGAGCCUAAAUGUUGGUCCAAAAGCAUAAAUCAAGCUUGAGACUGAUUUCGAAGCGGAGUCUUAAAGAUUGUGAGAUAAUUUUGAGAACACCACAUCAAAUGCCUCCGUUGUGAAUUCAAACAUCUGAGUGAAUGGAUCUGUGUAUGGCGUAGGUUGGCUUCGUGUACCGUGAGAACCACCGAUCCCCUGGAUACUACGACGGGCGCUACUGGACCAUGUGGAAAUUGCCCAUGUUCGGCUGCAACGACGCCACCCAGGUCGCGAAGGAGCUCGAGGAAUGCAAGAAGGAAUACCCGGACGCAUUCAUCCGGAUCAUUGGAUUCGACAACGUUCGUCAAGUUCAGUGCAUCAGCUUCAUCGCCUACAAGCCCCCAAGCUUCUAUACAUGAACUGACCGUGCCAGCUCUCUAGAGUGUCUGUCCCGUUCGACUCGGCUUUGCCUCUUUAAAUUGCUUUCCCUCAUUGUUCGUUUUCUUCUGUAUCCCCUCUCCAACGGAUGCGAAUUGGACUAAGGUCACUGUUAUUUUGGUUGGUGAGGAGCAUCACAGCUCCGGCUAUGUACAUCAUCGUUAUUGUCUACUACUUAUAAACCUAUAUAUGGAUGGGGUGUCUGUCUUCUCUCUCUACGACAUGAAAGAACCCGUUUAGCAUGUCAUUUUGCUCUAUGGGACAUCAUUUUGUGACUCUAAACAUCAGAGCUCAUAACCAAUUUUAUGGCAACUCGGUAGCUAUGAGGCUCCAUGCGGGUGUGUAUUUAGUUUUACAUCGGUUAUUUGAAUUGAAAAACUCAAAAAAUAUUUUCCGACUAGAUCUAUCUCCUGUUACUCUUAACAUCGUUGGAUAAGAAUGUCUCGUUAUCAAUAUGCUUUAAAUAUCAAAAGAUGAGUGUUAAAAGAGUCUCCCUGAAUCCAAAGGAGAGUAUAAAUUGCAACUAUGCACCUAACCAGGCGGCACUCAACUCAGCCAAAUAUUUAACCAACUUUAGCUCCGUGAUGAUUAAUUAUCUUCCCACCCAGAUCUCACUCCGUGAUAUCCUCCGAGACGCUGGUCCGAGCAUGUGAUGAGGCCUUUUGAGGGGGUCCGAGAAGUCAUCAAAAGAGGCUUUCUACCAGCAGAUGCCACCCACCUCCAGAAUCAUAUGCUUUCUUCCAGAACUCCAUCGAAAAAGUCCCGUGACCGGAGCCAAGUUGUCGCAUGCCGAAUAGGAACAACACCAAUGGCCGUCUCAUCUUCCCCGGCGAGGUUCCUGGCCGGCGGGCCGAGCUCCCGCCUGGCAGGUAACGGGACCACCUUGUAAACGAGCUCACGCCAGCCAUGGAACAUUAAAAAUUGUGAACCUGAAAGCACUGGUUGAUGCAACGAUGAUCCAUCAACCUUUGGUCACAUGGCACAUGUAUAAGCAAUCAAGUCAAAAGAUCUUAUUUUUGGUAGCCCAAGAUCGUUCAUGAUUAAUCCUUCAAAAAAAGACCGUUGAUGAUUCGAUCUCUACAAAAGUGCACAGUUAAUCCUUCAAUCUUCGCAGCUCGGUAGAACUAAAUAUGGAUCACAAGACGACCAUCUUAGUAGGAACUUGAUCCUACUUAUUGGUGACAAGUUUCAUCUUGAUUCUCUUUUAGUUUAUAAGGUUUUGAAGAAAAAAAAGAGGAAAAUUGUUACUGCAGUUAUCCAAGUCCAAAUUUAUUAUAAAUGCACCAUCCAAAAACCAAACCAGAAACUUGAUAAACGGAGGGGUAUGAUCACAAGAAGUCCCAAUUCACAUGAUUUUUAGAUGGUUUUUGACUGUUUUAGGAGUAGAUAUAGCACCUAUAAAAUUUCCAUUUGAUGCUACAUAAGCAGUCCAAAGAUUGAAUAUUGAAAAAAAUCAAGCAAAAGCUGGACCUGAAAUAGUUAUUGUGCUGUACUUAUGACUAAUGACCUUAUCGGUAAUGCCAUAUCAGGACCUAAUGUUGUGAUUUUAUAUUGUUUUGGGUACUCCAACUCGGUCCAUUAGUUAAAAAAACUGGUUAUUCUUAUUCUAAUCCCAACAAUUCAUAUAAUUUUAAUCUCUUUUAAAUCUAAAACUUAUGAAGCAUCAGAUGAAGCACGAAAUCUAGGACAGAGGAUUGAGUUUCUUUUUUACCAAAUCCAAAAGAUGAAGUUACUAAGAUAAAAAACAUGAGGUUUGAAAAAUAUCUUGCAAGGAGACAAUACCUACAUUUUCUUCAUUAAGGAGCAAGAAUUUCACAAUCUCACAUAUAGUGACCUUUUGGCGGCACAUGCAAGAAAUCUUUUCUCAUCUGAUAAAUAGUAAACAUUCAGGGAGAGGUCCUUGUAAAGGUAGAAGACAAGCAAUCAUGCUAGAUGUUUAAUUAUUAUUUUGCUUCAUAUUAUAAUGGCACUUAAAAUCUGAAGCUAGCCCGGAUUAUUUGAAAAGUAAGAUAGAAUUGCGUUGNNNNNNNNNNNNNNNNNNNNNNGUCAAAAUCAAGAUUUAACUUGGCUACAGGUUUGAGGCCAAGGUAUCUUUGGUUAUCAACUUGGACCGGACCUAUCAAAACAUGGAAUUUGGUUAAUAUACCUAAUUAUAAGAUUGGAAGUCAUUUUCGGCCACUUUUUUUGAAAACAUCUUUAAUAAAGUAGGUGGCAUAGACCUCCCUUUCCUUCCAAAAAAAAUAAAAUAAAAUUGGAAGUUCUGCCCAUUUCUUUUCCUUCCUCCAGUUGCACUCCAUAGUUUUUUAAAUAACAGUAUUUAUAAUGGUCAUAGAGACUUUUAUAAAAAUUUUGUCCACCUCUCAUUAUAUUAUUCGGUUAAAUAAUAUAAAAAAAUAAUGAUCAUUAUUUUUUAUUAUAACAAACCGCUAUAACACUCAUUAUUUUUUACUUGUAUUUUUCUGAAUAAAAAAUUAUUCAUUUUAUAUUUUAAAAUAUUUUCUUUUUUUCGAAGACAUUGUAUGGUUUAUAUAUAUACACACAUACAUACUUACAUACAUACAUACGCAUAUUAUUAUCUAAUUAAAAGUAAAAAAGAAAUAUAAUGCUCUAUUAUUGUUCAUUACUUCCUUAUGAUAAUAUUAUUAAAACAAUCAUUAUUUUGAUAGUAUUUUAAUAUUACAACAAUAAAAAAAGAAGAAGAGAUAUAUAAUGUUUGCUAUAACUUUUACAACAGCCAAUAACAAUUUCGUAGAGGGCUGCUAUAGGGUAAUGCCGCGUUACAUAAACUAUCACUGCGAUCUCUUUGAUACGUACCAUCACAAUGACCAAUCCCAAUUCCCAACUCAGCUUCAAACUUAGAAUCCAUCUACCAGUCUCACAUACGUUUGAAUAGAAUCGACAAGGACUACGGUUGGUACUUCUCUCAAUCGGUGGCAAAGCUAAAUAAGUAAUUCAUCCAUACUUUAUUCUGAUGGUUUGAAAUUCCAAAAAUAUUUUUCAACACGGGAUCUUGCUAAUUUGAUCCGUCGCUUUCGUGGACUCCACGCACAAAACGACUCUUCCUCCUUGGAUACAUUGAUUCAAUGCAUUCAUCAAGUCACUUCAUUCUCCCACAUGCAUUACUAUUGAUCAUUUUUUAAUCCAAAAAGAAAAGUCUUCUUGGACCGCCGGCCGGUGGAUUCCAGCAAAUCACUUGGAUUUUUCCAUGGGAUUCGCAAUAUACCGCUAGAUCCAAGCCUGAUAGGGACACGACCGCUUCUUUAUGUUUUAAUGGUCUAUCAUUAACCCUCAAAAUGUUAAUCUACUGGAAUCCGCGGCGGAAGGGAUGCGGGGACCAGAAUAUGGACUAUCUUACGUGACUUAUAUUAGGGAGGUAACUGAAGUUUUUCAGGCAAGGGCCACCGGCUUGCAUUAGAGAGGCACCAAGUUGGGAGAGUCAUGCGAAUCAUGCACAUGUAUUGUGACGCUAUAAAGUUAAAGCAGGAUGGUGAUUAUAGGCCUCCAUGCGACUGCCUAGCAUCUUUUGAUUGCUAACAUUUACGGUGCUAAGAUAUGCGGCCUGAAGAUAGAAAUUGCUCAUACAAACGAGUUAGAUAAUUAUAAUCUUAGAUGCAUAAUGGUGCAUCAGAAAAAAUUUUCUCUUAGGGCUCAUUUGGUUGGGGUACAUCAGAUUAUGAGGUAAUCUGAUGAUUCCUAAAAAUUAUUUAUCUGAAAAAGUGAUUGCGGCGGAAAAUAAAUUUUACCACAUCUGGUUGGUAGAAAAUUAAAUUAAUUUGGAAAAUAGCAUUAAAAAAAUAUUACUAUAUUUAAUUAGAGGUAAUCUUAUGAAGAAAUAUUGUUAAUUUUUUAACAAUACUCUUGAAUAAACAAUUUAAGUAAUAAUAUUUUUUUUUUCAAUCCAUUUGUUGGUUAUUUAUGGCCCACUUACAUAAAUAUGGUCAAUAUUAGCUAUUUCGAAUUAUGAAAUAUAUUUAUAUGAGUUAACAAUUUUUUAAAUUAAUAACUAAAGCACAACUACUGCUAAAAACUGUCUCAUUCAUUUCUAUAAGAAGAUAAUGGUAUAUAAAAAAUGGAUCAAUCUUUACCGUUUAAUACCAAAUUUAUAUAAAAAAAGCCAUCAACAAAUAAGAUUUGUCUAUAUCAACAAAAAAACACCUAAUUAGACUGCUACUAACUAGGACUUAUUCCCAUAACACAAAAUUGUAUAUCCCAAAAUCAAGAAAAAAACCACCCUCAACUUCAUAUAUUAUCCCACAUUGCUACAUUUGUUGGUUUUGGCAGGCUGGAAACUUUUGGAAUUUGUUAAUGAAUUCUCUCUAUAGGCAUUUGCUUACAAUGCAUUGGGGGUAAUUAGACUGCUAUUAACUAGGACUUAUUCCCAUAACACAAAAUAUUGCUUACAAAAUUGACCAUAGGCAGCCUUCGCACUUUGCAUAAACUCUUCUCCUGUCAUUUAAACAUCAAACCAUAUUCAUUAAUGACUGCCUUGAUCUGAUCUGUAUUGUUGACCUUCAUCCAAAAAUUUGACCAUAGUCAGCCUUUGCACUUUGCAUAAACUCUUCUCCUGUCAUUUAAACAUCAAACCAUAUUCAUUAAUGGCUGCCUUGAUCUGAUCUGUAUUGUUGACCUUCAUCCCAACCACAUAAUUGGUAUCACUCAUAUUAGUCUCUCUAAAAUCUGGGUAAAUCUGUCCACAAGUGCCAUCAUCAUCACUUAAAUAACAAAUACUAUAUAAGUUAUCUAAAUCCUCAUAGGAAGAGUCAUUCCCAUCAUAAACUACAUUGCUUUGAAGUCCAAAUAAGCAAGGCUUCUUGGCUUUCUCCCUUUGCUUCCCCUUAUCUCUCUCAAUUCUUGGGUCCACAUUUCCUUCAAAUUCCAAAUCAUUAUCUCUGAAGCCAUAGUCACUAUCAUCAAAAUCAGAGUAAGCAUCUUCAAUACCUAAGUCCUUUUGCACUCCAUCAUUAAUGCUUGAAUCUUUGUGCACUCCAUCGUCAAUGCCUGAAUCAUUUUACACUCCAUUAGUGCAUGACUCCUUCUGCACUCCAUCAUCUUUAGGCUCAUGGUCCUCAUCUCCACAACCCAUGUCUGACAUCAAUUGGAAUCUCAUACACAUUCUUCAUCGCAAUAUCUCUAGAUACGUGCUCCAUGUAUAUUUCAAUCUCCUUAUUUAUAGGGAUCUGCUUUACCAUUUCUAUCACAUAUUAAUCGCACCUCAGAGGUCUUAACCCAUCAUCCAAAGUCUUUGUUGGAUCCCUCCAGUAAUAACUCAUAAUCCAUAAAUCCACUGUAUCUUAAUUUCCCUAACAUGUCAUCAAUUUCAAACGUAGAUAUUGCGUCUACAUUACAAUAGUCACAUCAGUCAACUUUUCCAUUAACAUAUGAUUUAUUUGGCACUUAAAAAAAUGACCAUUAUGGUGUAAAACUACUAUAAAAUGGUCAGGAUCAUCUGCCAUACGUAAAACACAUAAAUAGUGUAAUCACAUAACAAAUGGUGAAAAAUGUUUAACAUAAAAAAUAGACCAAUUUUAAAAAGAUAUAAACAAUGUGUUCAACAAAGAAAAAACAGUGGAACAUUUUUUUGUUACAAAAAAGUUUGUUGGACUUUGGGUCUUGGCAUCCAUUUUGUUACCUCAUGAUUUAUGCUUACUAGGUCUCCAUUGUUGUCUAAUCACAACUAAAUAAGAUGGAAUGGGUAAGAUAAAAAUGCAAAUGGAUAUAUUCCUAGAGGUUAAUGUGGUGAGGUUAGGGGAAAGCCUUGUUCCUAUUUACCAAUAGCAUGAGCAGUAGCUACCCACCUUAUAUACACACCAAGAGAUGGACAAAGGAUAGGCAAGAGGAGCUUAGAAGCUUAUGUAUACACUUCCAAUUUUUCGGCGCUCAAUUUUUAAGUCAAUAUUGAUGUUUUAACUUGUGCAUUGCACAAACUAGUGUAGCAGAUUAGCAGAUAAUCAUUGUAGCAGAUAAGGUAAUUUCAUAAUUUCAUGAAGGACUUGAUGAAAGUGACUUUACUGGAUCUAGAACUCAGGUUAAUUAUGACACAUAGAGGAUAGAUAGAGAAUGGACAAGAGUAGCUUAGAAGUUGUUUUUUAUGCUAAAAGUGGCUUUACUUAUCUGUCAUUUCUUAAACUAAAUUGGCAACAAUUCUUGUGGCGAGUCCCCACACACAAACAUAUCCUCACAAACAAAUAUAUCCCUAUACACAAACAUAACAUAUAAAAUCAUAACCAGCUCAUUUUCAGAUAUACAGAUCAAAUAUAAAUAUCUUCAAUAGGGUAAACAUAGCAUGCACCGUAUAUAUCGGUCCUACUUGAAGGAAUCAUCUUCACAGAUAUAGUAACAAUAAAACAAAUAAAAAAAUCCACAUAUAAAUGCAUUCAUAGUAGAUAAAAUUGUGCAAUACAACCUUCUUUUGCAAGCCUCGAUGUAACAAUCCAGGACCUCACCCAAAAUGGCUAGCCGGAAGUUACUAUUUGGGUUCCUUGAUCCUGUAUAAAUACCCAAGAUUUACCCAGCGAAUAACCGAUGUGGGACUAAACACCCGCCCGCAUGGGUCCUCACAUACUCCCCCUGUUAAAGCCUGACGUCCUCGUCAGGCUAAGGGUUCAAAUCCAUUUAAGUCUAAUCACAAACACCACAAUCGGCUCAUAGUUAGCCCCAAUGGAUCCGUGCUGCAGUGUCCCCUAGUCCACAUAGGUUAUGGGCUAGAUCCGCUCUAAUACCAAAUGUCACGCCCCCGCCUACGCGGAGCACGUGAGACACCUAGUGCCCACGUGAGGGCCACAUAAGGGGGGAAUACGGGGCUCCCCUGUCAGAUAUUGUCCGGUUUCGGGGCUUCACGCAAGCGUCCUUCACCCAUUCCCGGUUUUGUUUUCUACCCAAAACGCGUCUGCAGGAUUAGAAGACACCCACCUCAUAUGCCCAUGCUCUAGAACGAAUCUCGACUCCUCACCAGGCAAUCUACAAUGUCCUUCCUUGCUCCUCAAUUAGUAAUGGAACAAUGAAUCUUGGGUUGAAGAGCUAUUUGAUUGGAGGACUUGGAUGAGGAAUCGACGGUUUGAUCUCUUUUCCAUUUGAUUUCUCUUUUUUACUAAUGAAUCCUAAAAUCCUCGGCCUUCUGCCAAACAACCUGCUUGAUGUGGCAAUUUUUUCCUCCCAAUUGUCUUUUUCUACCAUGUCUUAGCCCUACAUCAUAAAAAAACAUGCCACUUGUGCAGUUCUAUUUGAUUAGCAACAGAAUAGUGACAAUAGUGGCUCAAAUAAAUAAUAUUCGUAAUGUCAGGGAUGGAAUUGCGACUUUUGAAAGGUUGAGGUCUGAAAUAAUUUUCAGCCCUAACCUUAGGGACGAAUUUAGUAAUUAAGACCAUAUUUUUUUAUUAAGUUUGCAAUGGAUGUAUAAUAUCUUAUAGGAUUAAUUAGAUUUGAUUUUAAUAUCUCCAAUUUCAUUUGUAUAUGGUAAUGUACAAAUAAUUUGAAAGGUAAUUUGCUUUUUUUUAAAAAAAAUGAGAUUGCACAAUCAAAUAAAUUUUAUUAUUUUCAGCCCUUUCCAUCCAUUUAUAACCUACUUGGAAAUAUAUUCCUUAUCAGAUGAUAGGAUUAUGAAUUCAAAUAACCUACUAAAGCGCUCCAGAGUCUUUGCAAUAAUCAAUGGGCAACUGUUUAUAUGAAUAAAAUAUUCGAUCUCAAAAUAAAUGAAAAGGCUAUUGAAUCCAUUUGGCACGAAAAUUGAGUCUAAAUACUUUUUAUUGACAUGCGUGUUUUCCUUUUAUCUGGUUGAUAUGUUUGAGAGAGACUUAAAGAAGAAUUUAUUUAUCGAAAGGAGGGUAUAUUUCAGAGGUAGAACUAGUUAUGCUAUGUACCUAUGUCAAACAGAAUAACAACUUUUUUUUUUAAUCAAAAAUUUGCAAAAAAAAAAGUUGUAGAGAAACAUGCUUGCCAUGCACAUGAAAGAAGGUUAAUCGUUGGGAUAUCUUAGGAGGCUAGUAGACAACAAUGUUUUGUAUGAAGUGGAGCCCAUAAGAAAUUUUUCAUUAAAAUAUUAAGGAAAAGCCACGCUGCGAUUGGUUGUAAGUGGAGAGCUUUACAUUAUAGAGAUAUUACCAUCCUCCUCCCAAUUCGAAUUCUCUUUUGACAAUGGUAGUUGCACUCCCACUUCUAGAAUAUAGACUUUAUUAUAUUAUCUUUUAUUUGAGAGAAUCAUAAAAUUUGAAAAUUAGUAAAAGAAAGUAUUUAUAGUCCUCUAUGUCAUCAUAAAAGAAUGAAAUUAUUCUAGACAUAUAUAUAGAUUUUAUGCAGUAAGAAAGCUCCGAAUGGUCAAGAUUGAAAUAGUACAUUUUGAGAGGGAAAAAUGAUAAAGCAAUAAGAAUUCUCACAAAUAUUUAGAAAAAAAAUUUGGAUCAACACCUACUCAAAAAAAGUUGCUAUAAAAAAAAAUUUGUGAUAAGACAAUGUAUAAGGCAUGAUUUUCAAUUGCCUUAUAACCCUUGUUAACUUAUAUUUGCUUAUAGAAGAAAUCUAUCCAACUAAAAAGAGGUCAAGAAUUUAAUUUUUUUCUCAAAAUUUACGAACAUUUUGAUAUUAUAUCUGCUUUGGUGACAUUAUUUGAUUAAUUAUGUUAGGUGGCCCUUUGCAGCAUGAGUUGGGAUCACCUUCUUCUGUUUGAAGUUGAAAUAUUUGAUUUCUAUAUUUUUAGUCAUAAAUUUAUAUUGUUGGAUAGCUUGCCAAAUAGAUUGCUCAUGCUUAGCCAUCAAACCUCAUUUAUAAUUAAAUAUUUGAUUUUCUAGCCUAAAAUAGGGAGAACUCAAAUUUGACCGUUAACACCAUUUUUCUUUCCACCUGAAUAAAUGAUGUGGUAAACACAAUAUAUUUUUUCUUAUGUAAUUGAGCAGCAAAAUAUAGUAGUGAGAAAACUAAAACUCCACGUCAGUGAGUCUUAACAAUGGUCACCUCCGAAGUACGAGAUCUGGUCUUUGGAAGCAGAGCCAGGGCCGCAAGGCACGUGCCCGUUAUCUCGUUUGCGUGCUUCGAAACGGUCGUACGCCGGAAAAAAAAAAAAGAACGAGUGGACGGACGGACCGAUCUUUUAGUUUUGGAGGCAGCGAAAGAGUGCGAGCCUCUUCCUCUCCACGGGUAAUUUACCAGCCAUUAAAUAUCAUAUUUUCAUUAAUUUAAACAAAACCGAAUAAUCGCAGAGUGGGUGCCGACCGCGACGGCGCUUUCCACGAGAGACACCAGACACAUGAAAAAAUUAAACAAAUAAAGUAUAAUAAAGUAAUAGAAUUAUUUCUUUCUGUAGAUAUUAAUAUAUUAAUUAAAAGAUAAUUAGUAUUAUUACAGAGGUCUGACCUGGUGUCCUUGUCCGGUUAUUCAAUACUUCCACGCAUUUUCCUCUCACCGGGUUUCUUUCUCUUUUUUUAUUUAUUUUUAAUUCCUUCUAUAUUUUCUCUCUAUAUAACAAUUAUAUAUCUCUUCCCAACCCUUCUCAGCCCAUCCUCGCCGCCGCUCCACCUUCCUUUUCCCUAGUUUUCACCAUCUCUUCCCUCUCUUAGAAGAGAGAGGCAGCUAAGGUACGAUCCCUUUCCUUCUCUCCGUUGUUCCUCGUUUCCCGUCCACACUUAGGUCUCCCUUAUAUUUUUAACGUGUUUUUUUUGGGGGGGAUGGGAUCUUCUGUUCUUAUCGAUGCGAGCCUUUUGAUUUCGUUUCUCGUGCUGUAUGCUGUUAUUUGAAGUGAAGAUACGAAUUUUUGGAGUUUUCUCCAUUUUUUUCCCACCUUCGGAGCCUUCUCCACCGGAUCUAGGGAUUUCGAGCUGUUUUACCUUGAACCGGGUUGGAUUUUCGUCGAAGUUGAAUUUGGUUCUGUCCGAAAAUCAGCUGAAAAUUCGAUCUUUUUGAAUAUCUGAGAUUUCCUGCGUGUAAAAUCUUUAGAGUUUUAAGAUUCUUCGCCCUAUCUGAGCUCAACUCCUCCAGAUCCGCCAAAUCCCUGGUUUUUUCCAGUCGAUCUUGCGUUUUUUAUGAGGGAAAUAGCAAAUAUUGACCGGUUCUAUUGUUCCGCAGGCGUUCUAAGUGCGGAUCUCGAGGGGGUAAUCGAAGAUGAACCACUGCGCGAUGCAGCAGAACGCUUUCGCUGCCUGCGAGGAGAUGCGGGGGGGCUCCUCUUCCGUCGUCGUCGACCGGAGGACCCCUGUCUUCUGUCCCAAGCCCCGGCGCCUUGACCCCCUCUCCGCCGCCGCCGCCGCCGCCGACCCCGUCCGCCCCCGUCCGGUGGCACGCCAGGUAAUUACCUCUGCCCCGUUUCCCCAUCCUCUUAGAAACUUGUUAAUGUCUGUAUCCUUCUCUCUGAUUUCAUCUCCUUUUUUUCGCUUUCCCAACAGUCAUCAGGCCGAUCUCUCGGAUUUCAAAGCCGGCUCGGAGCUUCUCGAUUUAUUUCUAACGAAGGUGAAAUUUUUAAUCCCCCAGUUUUAAAUAUUAAAUUAAAUUUAUUUACUGAAAAAUAUCGGAGAAGCCAAUCUCUUAUAUUACAUUAUAUUAUAUAAUAUAUUAUUAAUCGUUCGAUAUUUUUAUUUUUUUAUGUAAAAAUAAAAAUACUCGAUCAAGAUCUGACGGAUGAGGUGUAGGAUACACCGAAGUGAAUCUGUUUGUCAGGCGUCAGAUCCACCGUUAUGCCUAUCGGAUGGCUCUGAUUGCUGGAUCUGUUUGGUCCUGCAGUGAUACGGGAACAAACGCAAAUAUUACCAUAGCGCGUUUCCUCCCAUCAUGAUUGAUUUCUUUAAUAUCUCUGGAUUAAUUCGUAUUAAAAGAUUUAGAUACAUGCGCAUAAUAAGAAAUUUGGAUCAUGGACUGAUCUCCACCGUCCAUUGUGAUCUUUUACAGGGUGGGGAACAGGUGGCCUCGUCACCCCCGUUCUUCUGCGGCUCCCCGCCAAGCCGGGCGGCAAACCCGGUGGUCCAAGAUGCCCGUUUCGGCGAGGACCGGCCGCCGGCGCCUAUCGCCACCCUCCCGGUCCAAUCCGGCUCGCCGAUGUCGCCGCGGAAAGGCUGUGUCCGUGCCAAAUUUGGCCUGAUGCCGGCCGCCGUGAGAGUCGAGGGUUUUGAUUGCCUCAAUCGCGAUCGCCGGAGCCACAGCAUCACAGCUGUGGCAUAAAAGCCUUGCACAUAUUUAUAACACAAACCCCAAGUGCUCUAUUUCCGUUGGAGCACUUGAGAGACAAAAAAGGGGAAAAGAUUGAGGAAUAUUAACAUCAACAAUCCACAACUACAUUUAGAUGCUAAUCCAAGAGGAGUUAAUCGAGAGUUUAGUUUUGAGAGGGAAUGUGGAAAAGUGGUUUCUUCUCCUACUGUACAUUUGUCCAGCUAUCUAUCUUUUUUCUUUUGUAAUUAAAGUUUUUAUGUGGAUACAGAAUAAGGAGGGAGGGAGGGGGAGGAGAGAGAGAGAGAGAGUGAGGCGGCAAGCCAAUCUUGUGUUUUAUUUUAGUCCCCACAUUGGAUUCUAGUCAUUAUGGCCUUGUUUUUCAUAUCUAAGUUUCGGGUUGGAAUCUGUAUAAAAGAAUGUUAGGAAGUGGAUCGGUCAUUUUGGGUCAUGGCAUGUGUAUGUAUAUAUUUUAAAUAUAAAAGUUUGGAUCUUAUCAUCCGUAAAGGGUCUUAUUUGCCCCUUUCCAUUACUCUCCUUUGCCCUUGACCAUGGCAUGUGGGUGUCGAUAAAGCGGAACGCUUCUAUCUGUGUGCUCGUUUGGCCUGUUGCAGCGAAGUGCUAUGGGAAUCUUACAUGGUUUGUGCAAAAGUUUUGAGAGAUCCCGGAAUUGUUCUACAAAGGCUGCUACAUACGUCCGAUAUGAUGUAAUCAAUAUACGAAGUUGGGGUCAAUUUGAGAGAAAAAAGAAGAAGAGAGUAGGUAAAGAAAUCAGGCAUCAAGUUGGCUCCCGGUUAGAUGGCUGAUGUUGUUGCAAGGGGAAUGCUUGAAAGGUUCCGUAAGGUAUCUGUUCUGUAAAUAAUAUCGUGCGAACGGCUAUAAAAAGGGGGUCUCAGAUGCGCUUGACUGUUGUGAUUUGACACUUGCCGACAAGGCUCUGCGACAGGUGGACAACAUUUGGCGAGCGUCAAACCUUGCCCCUUGGGUGCUUUGAAAGGGCAACCGGCGAGCGACAUUGCUUUUUUCUCUAAAAAUUUUUCCUGUUGGAAGAUACUUGGGAACUCAAUUAUAGGACAUCUUUGGGAGUUGAUCACUGUUAUCAAAAUUUUUUAACCAAUAUGCACAGACCGAGUCCGUAAGUAGAUGGUAUGUCAAUGGAAAAGGAUGAAUCAUGUUAGCUGUUUAUUUCUCGUUUCCUAUUACCAGUGCUUAUAUUUUUUUAGUUGGAAAAAAACGCUUUAAGACCCAAUCGUUGUAUGAACUAAAAAAGAGAAAUAUAAGUGAAAAAGCUUCUAUCCCGACAUGGCAAUUAAGAAUCGACGCUUUAGUUGAAGUUCUGAGGGCCAUCCUCUUUGUGAGAAUUUUUUGCACUGCUGCCGAGAAAAAAGAAAGAUGGAAAUCCAUUCCAAAUGUCAUACAAGAAUCGACGCUUCACUUGAAAUCCUAAUGGUGAUUUCAUGAUCUACGCCACCCCUCCGACAUGGAAUGAGAAUUUUUCUGUAUGGGCACCAUAGCUUUUUAUUUUGGAGAGGUCAUGUGGGCAGUCAGGCGUUGCACUUGCAAAAAUUCAAUGGUGAUUUUGGGAAUAAUGCCAACACCCUCUUAUCGCAUGGAAUGGGCACCUUUUUUCGUUGGCCCCACGGCUUUGCAUUUUGCGAAAGUGUUGUGCAGCUAAUGCAUAAUGUUUGGGAAAUAUCUUUAGAAAUGGUUGCCGGUAGGUUUGCCAUAUUUAAAUGAUGGCAUCAGGUAAAGAUUACUCUACAAUUCAGUGAAAUGUCAUAGUCAAUAUCUUGUUAAUUCUUAUGAUGACAAAUUAUUAAUCUUCUCGGAUUAAUUAUUCUAUCUCGGUUAGUCUUUUUAAUUUUGAGCAACACUCGUAAUAUAAUUUUCCUGCCUUGUUUCCUCGGAGUGAAUUUUCCAAACAAGGUUGUUGUUAUUUGGAGCCUCCUCACACGGCGAGCGUCUAUGAAGUCAGAAAGAAACUGCGAUUCCAAAUUAGUCAAUCUUAAGCUCUCUGUCAUGAUAAAUUAUACUCGAUACCGCGUUCAAAGACUAUGACAUGCACCAUGCCAAUGUGCUUAUCUUUUUUCUAGGGAGCCAAUCACUAAGACAAGAAGGAUUAUUGCGAAGAUUCUGUGCACUAGCAUGAUCAUGCAUUGAGCCGAUCACAUCUGUUGAUACCUAUGAUGGAACACCGAGAUUCAUACUUGAUGAAUGAGGCUCAUGGAAACCAACGGUCAUUAUUGGCUGCAUGCACAGCUAUGUGGUGCAUACAGUGUAGAUAAUAGUUUCUCGGAUACGCGCAUAUGAUGAAUAAUGCCUCUAAAAAGGAGAUGAAGCGGCUGGCAUGAUGUAUGACAACGUGAUGUAGGGUAUAAUGGUAUAAUUUUUCCAUAGUUGCAUGUCCCACAGCAAAAUGGUAGGUGAGAUAUCUGGAGGGAAUUGAGAUGGUGAAGGGAUGCUCAACGCAAAAUUGAACAGGUGGUUGCAUUGAAGUUUCUUGAGUUGACUCAGCUAGUCAAAAGCUUACAUAGUUUUGUCGCUUUCAUCUCUCCUUGUUUUUUUACAUAUUUAGCAUCCAUACUAUACUAUGAUAAGAGGAUGAUAUUACUGUUUUCCGAAAUUUCUAUUGAAGCAAGCGAUGGUACUCAAAGUCAAAAAUACUCACUCUCCUUUUCCUGAAAGAGGUUCAGUUCAUAGAUAGAGCUUAUAUUUUUUUUUUCUACCGAACGCCUUGGACGGUGCAUAAGAGUAUUUCCAUACUUGUGGUGAUUCAUCUCUCUCUCUCUCUCUCUCUCUCUCCGAGUAUGUGUGUGUGCGCGUUCAAUGGUUUCAGGUUGCACGCCAGCUGAAGCCUGCACCGUUUUCUGCAGCAUAUUAUGUCUGGUUUGUCCACAUCCAUGCCCGCCUAGUGGCGCCAUGUCUGCUCUGCAUCAUGACGCAUGCUCGCAUUGUGGACUUGUUCAGCCAUCUUUAUUUUCUUUGGAUGAUUAAUGACUUGUUCAGCUGUCGAAAUGCUGACAGGCCAAACUUUUCAAAAGGCUGAUUUCUCUGCAUCCCAACGAUGUAAUCCCGAUUAUAAAUCAGUCUGCGGCUGUAGCAUUCGGAGAAAGAAUCAACUAGAGCCUAGCCUCUCCCCUGCUGUUAGUUGUGACCGCUAGGACAUCAUCCAACACACGACAUAUGAUGUUUUUAUGAUAUCAUUUCUCCUCAUUAUAUUGGAUUGAUUUGGACAUUUCCAUUUCUUAUCUUCAAAACCAAGCUUUUGAUCAUUGAAGUCUCUUGCAGGAAGGUCCUUUCAUGCGAUGCGAACUAUGCUUACCGUUUCCAAUUCCACAAAACAAAAGGAUAAUUAUUAGUCUUCCAAGAAGCAUACAAAAAAAGGUGACUUUCGUUGAGAGGAUAUUUUGUGUUGGAUUAAUGGCGUCAAAAAUGUACUCGUAAGAAGAUAAGCAUCCAAUCAUUUUUCUAAAACAGUCUUACUACCCGCCAUCAAAGGAACAGGAAAAAUAAUUCCAUAUCUUUCAUGGGCAAAAUAAACCAUCAAUACGGUCGCAUCAGUCUCUUGCUUACCGUCCGCGAGUGCUAUCCAACCAAAGUGCUCGUUUUGUCGGGCGCAGACCCAACUUGCGGAAAAGUCUCGGAUUCGGAUGGGAUUCGCCGAAACCGGGCACCGGCGUGCCUCUCUUUGUGCGAGUCCCGAACCUAUCACUGUAGCUUUCAGCCUUGGGCGCCCCUCCGUGUUCCAACGAAGUUCCAACCCCACACGUCUCGUAUUUAUCUUUUUAUCACCAACUCCCAUCCUCGCAACGACCUGCUUGGCUUUCAACUUUAAGCGAGGCCGCCGCAUGGGAAGGAUGGGUUGAAACGGAAACGACACGACGCAUGUGGUCCAGCCUACAGGCCUCCUCGAUUCCCAUGGCGUAAAUGUCUCAAUCCAAUGCUAUUGUAUCCGGUGAUAAGUUCAAAGUUUACGGCGCAGUAGAAAAUUAGGGGAAUUGGCAUAAGAAGUUUUUGGUGGAUAGUUUUGAUUCCAUCGUUUGGUAAGAUGAUUGGUGAGAUGGAUGGUUAAUCAGGAACCUGGUCGAUUUUAGCUAAUAGUUUAGUUAUGUAAUUUUAGCAAAUUCAAUAUUUAUUUUUCCCUUUGCAAGUGUGAGGAAUCAUCCUCAUUUUUUGGUUAGGCAUUUCUCGGAAUUCACUGUCUAGAAGAGUUAGUUAAAUUUAUGUUACUUAUAGAUCGUAGGUAGUCACUUUGGAGUAUGCAUUAUUACUAGAGGAUUAUUGUCUGUGAAGUGUUUGAUCAUCAACUAUUAUAGCUUAGGAUCCAUUUUCUCAUAAUUAAUUGAUAUUUAUAUGUCACUACAAUAGAUGACGGAAAAGGCUUGAAGACUGACCAUACAUAAGCUGCUUGUGGAGCUUGAAACCAUAGUUUCUUUUAUAACUUGUUUGGAUUGAAAUAGAGAGAAGAGCAAACGAGGUGGGAAAGUCAGAAUCGUUGUUUUGGAUCUACAACAUGGAAGAGAAAUCAAUUUUCUCUGGUUUGGUUAAAAAUUUAUGAUGGAAAGAGAAUUAGAAAAAUUUAAAAUCUCUUAUCUAGGCAGUCUGCGAGGAAAGAAGAGAAGACCGUCAAAGAGAAGUGGUUUCCCUCCGAGCCCCUCGUUCCGGACACUUUUUGGAUACAUAAGGGAUAAUAAAAAAGACAAAAGCGAGAAAGGAAAGGAGUAGGGAUAAAAUCGAAGAAAGACAGAGAACUAAAGGCACGUUUGAUUCGUGGAAAAAGAUGGAAAAAAGGUAUGGUCAACAAAGAAAUAAAGAAAAGCUCUUUUGUUUGGUUAAAGUUUUCAAAAAAAAAAGUAACAUUCUUAUUUGAAUAAGACUUCAAUAUUUUAUCAAUAAAUAAAAUAUGAAAAAAACUACUUUUCCGCCAGUAGAAAAUUGAAGUCCUUUUUUUCCAAAACUACCCUGAGCCAUCAAAAUCCAUUAAAAAGACUUCUUCUUUAUUAAGAGUAUAUUAGGUAUUUCAUGUAAUUUUUUUAAAAGAGUAUAUACUUAACCAUACAUAAGCCACUCUAAAAUCUGCUAAUUUUUCAUAGUCAAUCUAACAUGCUAAAAUCAUUUUCUCACGUAUCAGACUCGUAGGAAUUAAUUUUUCAGAAAAAAAUAUUUCAAUGAGAAAAAAUUUUGCCCGUAACCAAACGAGUCCUAAAGAAAAAACAAAAAAAGAAAGAAAAAUCUUUAAAUCUCUCCAUUCUCGGAGAGAGAGAAACAAGGAAUUUAGAGAGAACUAUCUUCUCUUUUAUCUUUACUCCCUUUUGUCUUGAUUUGCUAUCCAAAGGAUGGAUUUUCAAUUUUUCUACUUUUUUCUUUUUAUAUUUUAACAAAAGUGAGAAAAUAGUUUUUUGGAUCCCAGCUAUAUGAUUAGCCACAUAAGCAGCCAUCCAAUCAGCUACAUUAUUAGCUUUUCUAUAGAUAUGUGAUACUUCAAAAGAGAAUAAUGUACACAUCAUUUGCUAGCAAUCCUAUAGGAGGAGAUGAGGUAUGGCUACAAAAGAUGGUAAAUUUGGGAGCCAUAUGAUAACAGCCGAAGAGUCUCCCUGUGAACAAGAGGCCCACAAUAUCUAAGUAGCAAAAGUCAAUCCCACCCAUAUGGUACGCAGUUUUAUUGGAGGAACUAUAAUAUUAAAGAUUUUAACACCACCAACAGCUAAUAGAGCACCACUAGCAUUCCUAAUAACAAAUGUUGCUUCAUCAAAAGCACCUCUCUCCUAAUACGUCACUUUCAUUUAGCUGAACUUUUUAAGUAGAGGCUCGCGAACAUAGCCUUGAAAAAUUUGCCUAGGAAAUGCUUUGAGGUGGGACCCGCUUGCUUCCAAGCUAUGGUCUCAACUGACUAGGUUACAGUUUGAUCCUGGCGCCCAAACCCUAAGGUACUUAGGUAGGACUGUUGAUGGCCUGGAAUUCACAAAAAUCCUAUAUUUCAAGGGAGCCAAUUUGAAGGUUACGGGUCAGAUUUUAAUAUCAUCGCCAUCUGAUCUUGAUGGUCGGCAAAGCCUAAGAUCAACCAUAUACGAGUUUGAUCAGUGUAAAUCACAGGAUUCCAUCAAACACAUAGGCAAGCCAAACGGGUUGUAGGCUCAAGGAACGUAUCUCGUGCACCAACCAUCAAAAUUUGCAAGAAAAUCCACUAUUUUUUUAAUUUCUAAUGAAUAAUACAUUUUAUCAAGAAAAACUUUGUUUUAUUAUUGGAACAUUACAAUCGUAACCCACAUGACAACUAUAAAAGCAUAUAUUUAUAUACAACGAUGCUUACUACAUGUCUGCAGUUACUGUGCAUAGCACAUGAUGAACAAAUAAAGUUCAAAGGUUUGUCCCACUUUGCAAUACGCAAAUCAACAAAUGUGACAUGUACUUGUAAAAAUAAAAAUAAAGUAGAUUUUUACUGCAAAAUUUCUUUUUCUUUUGGUUUACCGAAGGGUGGAGACCGUGCUAAAGAGAGUGGACAAACAAACAGUUCAUUAACAUUAGAAGAAGAUUCUUUUCUACGCACUUUUGAUGCUUGUCAUGUUGCCAUUCAAGAUGUAAUCAGAUGUAACAAAUUAUAUUUUAAAUGUAGCAGAAAUGUCUCGCAUAAUGUACAGAGACCAAUCAAUUCACCUUCUUCGUUACCCUCGCAGCUUUGUAUAAAAGACAUCCUCCCAGUAUCACUCAUUUCAGGUUCGGUGAGACUUUGGAUGGAGAAUUUAAUUUUCUUUAGAGAAAUCUAUUCAUCUUUGUUCCUCUUUAAUGUCAUUCAUAAAGGGAAGAAGCUACUUAAAAACAAAGUGCUUUGUCGUGCCCCAUUCAUAAGUAUGGGCUGCUAUUGAAGAGGAAAGGGAUGGGAAACAGGGGAGGGGGGAGGAGCCAACUCAAAAGAGCAACCAAAAGCAAACUUCUACCCUAUCUUUUUGUCAUCAGUCCUGUAGUGGAGCUUUUAGAAAAGGUUUAGCAAAGAAUCAGGACAUUGAGGGGGGAAAAGAAUAGGAAAUUGAACAAUGAUAUGAUAAUUUUUGUUCCUUUAACACCAGUUUUCUUUGAGGAAAACUAUUUUUACCUUUACCAUUUUCUCGAGACUAAGGUAGAGAUAAUCCCUUAUUUUGCUUGUUUACAAGUUAGUUUUUUAUCUAAACAAUUCUUAUUUUAGAUAAGAGCCAACACUUAAAAAUUUGAUGUACACUGUAUGAUAUAUCUAUAUAUCAACCUACAUUAUGAAUUGACUAAUGUUAGCUAAUCUACAUCUCCCAGAAUAUUUAGCCUACUGUGCAUCGUAUCAAGUGUUGUGUUGUUAAGAUUUGAAUUAUAACUUCAGACAAACUAAACAUAUGAUAUUAAAUAUUAAUAUAAACAAUCUGAGCAGAUAAGUACAUCAACUGGGUAUUUCAAGAGCUCCAGUAACAUACAAGAUCAACUCUAAACUGGCAUCAAAACACUGAAAGUUAGGUCUGGCAGUGCAUCACAUAGUAUAAUCUUUUAUUUUUGUAGGCCACAGGUGAGCCCUCCUUUUUUUCUCUUUUCUCUGGGGGUGGGGUGCAGGUAAGAGGAUGGGGGGACCUUUUAACAAACAUCUCACAUGCCAUGAGUACUGUAGCAUGCACUGCAUAGCCAAUACAGGUGAUAUUAAUACAAUUUCUUUGACAAGAUAAGUACUUAAAUAGGGAUUUGAGAUGCACGAUAACAAAUAAAAAGCAAUGUUAAACUAACAUCCAGGCAAUCCAGUAAGACUGAGAAAUGAGGGCUGGCAUUAAGAAUCGCCCUCUAAUUACAGGGUCCCCUAGGGCGACUCAGGCAACAAUUCACAUUCUCUUGCCCCCAAUUCAUAUUCUCUUCUUCAUCUUUUUUCUUUCUGUUUUUUUGAGCAAUUCUUCUUUUUCUUUUGUCAUCUGGUUUAAUGUUAGUUUAGCAUUUUUUGCCAUCCAUAUGCUGCUCAAGUUACUAGGCACAAGUACAUGGAGGUAAGGGUGUCACCAAGAGAGGCCCUCACAUUUCUUGAAGCAAGAGGACCAACUACUUGAUGUCUUGGUGUAAGAACCCCAACACAGUGGCACCCCACGCUUCU